UUUUUUUUAUAGUUAUAAAUCACUAGUUAACCAAACCGCGCUUCGCGCGGUCAUAUUUUUCUAUAUUAAUUGAUAUAAAAAAAAUUAAGAAAUUGCAAUACUAAAAUAUAUAUAUGAAAAAAUCAAACAGAAAAUAACAAUAAAAGAAAAAGAACAAUAGAAUUAAAUUAGUUUCAAGAAAAAUAAGAAGAGAAUUAUAUUUUUUCCUUGGAGCAAUAGAAAGACAUAUUUCUUUAUGCGUCAAUUUUAUAUACGUUGCUAUCUCAUUUUUGGGUGUUUUAAAUUAUUUAUGUUAUUUCACUAAUAGUUUCCUUUAUAUAAUACUAUUUACGUUUAUAUAUUUAUUUAACUAUAUAAAUUUAGAGUUCAUGUAAUUUUUCUUACUUAUAAUAUAAAAUUUUCACAAUUAUUACUGUAAAAUAUGAGCAUAUCAAUUUUUUUAAUUGAUAAAAUUAAUAGCUUAAAUAUUUUGUUAUAUAUCUACACAAAAAUUAAUAUUUCAUAAAAAAAUUACAUUAAAAAUUAGAAAUAAUAAAUACAUAAGAGAUGUCAAAUAUCAAUUUUGUAUAGAAACUGAACAAACUAUGUAAUCCAAACACUACAUAAAGAUGAAGAAGUUAAAAACGAAUAUCAAUGAUUUCAUAUAUUAAUAUGUGGAUGAGUUUUGAUUUUCAAUAAAGAAUAUGAAAAAUUUGGACAAUAAAUGAUAAUAAUUGUGACUUUUAUUCUUAUAAACUAAUAAAAUAAAUAAGAAAAUAGGAAAAAAUUAUCUUUUUUUGGCUAGUGCAAUAUUUUUUUAGUGUCAGCUUUAAUCAUGGGUUCAUCAUGAAACGUAAUAAAUAUAAAUGGAUGUUAGAAUAUAUUUUUUUGGAGAGUUACCUUUCCAUUUUUAAAAUUUAUUUACUGAGCAAUUAUCUUAUUCUUCAAUUGACUAAUUAUGUAAAUAUUUUUUAGAUUAUUGAAAAUUAGAUAAAAAGAGAAAUCUCAUAACUAGGAGAGUUAAAGAGAUGAUUUAACUUUUUUCAAGCUAUUUGAAAUGAUAUUUCAUUAGACUACUCUAUUUUAAUAAUUUUUCAUUCAUUAAGGAGAAAAUGAAAGAUUUGAGUGAUAAAUAUUUUUGUAUUUAAAUUUACAAUAAAUAAUAGAAAUAAGUGGAGUAGUAAAAUUUGAGGUAUUUAAAUUCUUAUAAUAAAUAAAAGAAAUUAAUGAAGGGAAUAGUAAUUGACACAUUUCUAAUAGUAAUUAUAAAUAGAAAUAUAGUGAAAAUUACAACAAUAAAAAAAUUAAAAUAAAUAAAUAAGCAUUAUUGGCCAAAGAGGUGCCAAAUCAUUUUAAAAAAAUAUUUUAGCUUUAUAUAAUAUAUGAUUCAGUCUCUUCUCAUUUAUUGUUGAAAUUACGUUAUUACCCCAUCUAUUUAAUUUUAUUUGUCCAAUAGUUUUAAAAUAUAUUCAUUUCUUUUAUUUAUUACUUUUAUCAUAUCAAGAAAAGAUAAUUAUUUUUUUUAUUUUAUACUCAACAUUAAUUGAGCUGAGAAAGAAAGGCAUUUCAGUUUUUACAAUAUAUAAAAGAAAUAAAUGGAGAGAGUAAUAAUUGACACUCUUUUUAAAAAUAAUAAUAAAUUAAAAUAUAGUGAAAUUUUUCAAAAAAAAAAAGAAGAAGAAAGAAAUAGGAUAUUUGUCUCUUUUUUUUAAAACGUAAAUUAAAAUAUAGUGAAAUUUAUCAAAAAUAAAUAAAUAGAAUAUUUGUCUCUUUUUUUUUUUUGAAAACGGAAGUAUUGCAUAUAAUGCUUAUAGUUUCUUUAGCUUUUCAUUAGAAUUAUACAAAUACUCAAGUUUGUUGUCAAUUUUUUUAAUUCAUUGCUUGGAUAACGUUUUUUUUCUUUUUGUAAGUUAUAAAUUUCCACUCUUUAAAAUGUUUCUAAUUUUAGUGUCGUAUUUAGGAAUGCACUUCGGCAUACAAAUAAACAGUAACAUCGAGUACAUAAUGUUCGUUAUAGAAUGUUAAAAAAAAUUAUCAUAAUAAAAAUUUAGAAGAACUAAUCAUAAUUUAACCUAAUGAAUUAUGUAUGUACAACUAUAGUCAUAUAAAAGAAAAAGAAAAAGAAAUCUUUAUAUUUUAAGUUCUUCAAUAAAGUAUAUAAAUGAAAUAUAGAGAAUUUUUAAGUUCUUCAAUAAAGUACAUAAAUGAAAUAUAGAAAAUAGGAAAGAAAAACUAAAAAGAUCAAAUUGUUAUAAUAAUAAUUUUAUUGUAAGACUCUACAUUAUCUUCUUCCAAAAUUCAUAAUUUUUUCUACUUUUGUAUCUUCCUCAACUUUCUUCUUCACCCUACAAGCACAAAUAGUAUAUUAUAAAAUUGUUAGUUACUCUGUGAUUUUAUUUGGAUUGAGUUUAUUCAAUUUAGUUUCAAAGAUUAGUUAAAUUGACUAAACAAAAUAAAUAACAUCACAUAAAUUAUUAAANNNNNNNNNNNNNNNNNNNNNNNNNNNNNNNNNNNNNNNNNNNNNNNNNNNNNNNNNNNNNNNNNNNNNNNNNNNNNNNNNNNNNNNNNNNNNNNNNNNNNNNNNNNNNNNNNNNNNNNNNNNNNNNNNNNNNNNNNNNNNNNNNNNNNNNNNNNNNNNNNNNNNNNNNNNNNNNNNNNNNNNNNNNNNNNNNNNNNNNNNNNNNNNNNNNNNNNNNNNNNNNNNNNNNNNNNNNNNNNNNNNNNNNNNNNNNNNNNNNNNNNNNNNNNNNNNNNNNNNNNNNNNNNNNNNNNNNNNNNNNNNNNNNNNNNNNNNNNNNNNNNNNNNNNNNNNNNNNNNNNNNNNNNNNNNNNNNNNNNNNNNNNNNNNNNNNNNNNNNNNNNNNNNNNNNNNNNNNNNNNNNNNNNNNNNNNNNNNNNNNNNNNNNNNNNNNNNNNNNNNNNNNNNNNNNNNNNNNNNNNNNNNNNNNNNNNNNNNNNNNNNNNNNNNNNNNNNNNNNNNNNNNNNNNNNNNNNNNNNNNNNNNNNNNNNNNNNNNNNNNNNNNNNNNNNNNNNNNNNNNNNNNNNNNNNNNNNNNNNNNNNNNNNNNNNNNNNNNNNNNNNNNNNNNNNNNNNNNNNNNNNNNNNNNNNNNNNNNNNNNNNNNNNNNNNNNNNNNNNNNNNNNNNNNNNNNNNNNNNNNNNNNNNNNNNNNNNNNNNNNNNNNNNNNNNNNNNNNNNNNNNNNNNNNNNNNNNNNNNNNNNNNNNNNNNNNNNNNNNNNNNNNNNNNNNNNNNNNNNNNNNNNNNNNNNNNNNNNNNNNNNNNNNNNNNNNNNNNNNNNNNNNNNNNNNNNNNNNNNNNNNNNNNNNNNNNNNNNNNNNNNNNNNNNNNNNNNNNNNNNNNNNNNNNNNNNNNNNNNNNNNNNNNNNNNNNNNNNNNNNNNNNNNNNNNNNNNNNNNNNNNNNNNNNNNNNNNNNNNNNNNNNNNNNNNNNNNNNNNNNNNNNNNNNNNNNNNNNNNNNNNNNNNNNNNNNNNNNNNNNNNNNNNNNNNNNNNNNNNNNNNNNNNNNNNNNNNNNNNNNNNNNNNNNNNNNNNNNNNNNNNNNNNNNNNNNNNNNNNNNNNNNNNNNNNNNNNNNNNNNNNNNNNNNNNNNNNNNNNNNNNNNNNNNNNNNNNNNNNNNNNNNNNNNNNNNNNNNNNNNNNNNNNNNNNNNNNNNNNNNNNNNNNNNNNNNNNNNNNNNNNNNNNNNNNNNNNNNNNNNNNNNNNNNNNNNNNNNNNNNNNNNNNNNNNNNNNNNNNNNNNNNNNNNNNNNNNNNNNNNNNNNNNNNNNNNNNNNNNNNNNNNNNNNNNNNNNNNNNNNNNNNNNNNNNNNNNNNNNNNNNNNNNNNNNNNNNNNNNNNNNNNNNNNNNNNNNNNNNNNNNNNNNNNNNNNNNNNNNNNNNNNNNNNNNNNNNNNNNNNNNNNNNNNNNNNNNNNNNNNNNNNNNNNNNNNNNNNNNNNNNNNNNNNNNNNNNNNNNNNNNNNNNNNNNNNNNNNNNNNNNNNNNNNNNNNNNNNNNNNNNNNNNNNNNNNNNNNNNNNNNNNNNNNNNNNNNNNNNNNNNNNNNNNNNNNNNNNNNNNNNNNNNNNNNNNNNNNNNNNNNNNNNNNNNNNNNNNNNNNNNNNNNNNNNNNNNNNNNNNNNNNNNNNNNNNNNNNNNNNNNNNNNNNNNNNNNNNNNNNNNNNNNNNNNNNNNNNNNNNNNNNNNNNNNNNNNNNNNNNNNNNNNNNNNNNNNNNNNNNNNNNNNNNNNNNNNNNNNNNNNNNNNNNNNNNNNNNNNNNNNNNNNNNNNNNNNAAUUAAUGGUGUUAAAUUGUCCAAUAAUAUAAAUUUUAAAAGUACAACCAUAAAAGAAGAAUGUACAACACUAUCUAAGCACAUAUCAUUCAACACUUGUCAUAUGCUAAGUAGUAGAUAUUCCCACUUAUUAUAUAUAUAUAUAUAUAUAUUUCAUUAAGAAUAAGAUGAAAUGUUUGGAAUUAAAUUAUUACUCUAACUAAGAAAAGAUGUUUUCUUUUGGGGGAUGACUAAAAUCUGAUAAUAUAUCAAUAGAAUAUUGUUAGCUAUAUAGAGCAAAAUCGACGAGUUGUGUACCUUAUAUUUUACAGCGAAAAUCAUUGAUUUUGCUACUUUAACAUGAUUGGUCCAAAGUCCCACUUUGAAUCACUAGGAAACAAAGUUUGAUUCACAAACUAAAUGUCUAUCUUCAGACAUAAAAAGUUUUUUUUUUCUUCUUAUGGUUUGUGUUAUCUUUUUGUUGUUUAUUUUUACGUUGUUUUUUUCUUCUUUGACUGUAAAGGAAUAAAUCCUUUUAUCAAGAGGGGUUGGGAAGUUUUUUCAGUUUAAUAAUUGUUCCCCUCCUUCUUUUUCAAAUAAGAGAUAAUUAGAUCUUAUCUCUUAUCAGACAACUUCUUGGAUCGGGUCGGGUCGGUCUACAUGGGCGAACCACGACCCAAAACUUACAUCUCCCACUUCACAUAUGAUGGACAAGACCCAAGCUAAUACAACAUCAACUAGACACACAAUUCAAACAACAAAUAGUCCGUGCGACUUGUGAGCAUCAAGAGUUUAACUUUAAGGUUUUCCAAACCCCACAUAGAAAUCCAAUCACAUUUGGAAGGAAUAUAUUCACUACUUAUAUGAGAAUAUUAUUACUCACAAUACCCCAGACUUCAUUCACUACUUCAAUGGUUAUUCAUUCAAUCCUUCAUCUUCUUAAAGAGGUUAACUCUAGUUCAUGUUUAACUUUAUACACACAUUUACACUCAAUAUUAAUAUGGUUAGUGCAAUAGUUGGCUUGUGUAUACAAGUUUAUUAUUCAAUUAAUUGUCUUUUCUUUUUACUUGAAUCUAUCUAUUUCAAUUCAACUGCUUUUCUAGACAUGUACUGCAUUGUCGAAUCAUUCAUGGAUAUUAGUAACAUGCUAAAGUAGCAACAUCGAUUGAAACUUCAAGAAAUAACAAAAUAUCAAAGGGUAUUUCAUUGAAAAGUCAUUUUAACUUUUCAGGAUCUCACACAAUGAAGAAACAUGGAACCAUUCUUGCAUUGACCCAUUGAUCGCUUGACAUACGUGGUAUGAAAUAUGUGCUACGAUGUUUUCACCUUAUAUUGGUGUAUGUGUCUCAUUCUUUCGAUUAUCCAACAUCGUACCUAGUUUCUCUUUUUCAGUGAUCUUUAAACUCAUAUCUUAGAAGACAUUUGUCUGGCUCAUAAAAAAAGCCAUAAUAUGGUGGUGAAACUCAUCUCUUCAUGUUCCUCAAUGUAAGAGGUGAUUGCUCGUGUGAGAGAGACAAUUCCGUGACUUGUUCGACACACUUUAUUUCUUACAAAAUAUUACAUGCAUACUACAUUUGAACAUAAAUUAAAUAGUAUUAUAUAGAAGAUAAUUAUUAUAACAAUCAAGUUAUUUUACAAUACUGAAAUGUCAUCAUAUUCUACGCAAACCUAUAGCCUUAACAUGUAUUUUAAACAGGUCUCUGUAGAUGGCCUUCGUAAAAGGAUCAACUAUCAUUUCACGUAUAGGAAUGUAUUGCAAAGUUAUUUAUCCACUUGCGACUACGUCUCUCACAAAGUUAUUCUUGAUGUCAAUGUGUUUGGUCUUGCUGUAAUACUUAGGAUCCUUUGUUUAUACGAUAGUCGCUUGACUAUCACAAUAUAGAAUCAUAGGAACCCUUAGAAUUCUUCGCAGUACUCAAAUGCUCAAAGAAUCUCUAUAACUAAACAAUUUCUUGUACUGCAGACGCACAAGCCACAAAUUCAGAUUCCAUGGUUGAAAGAGUUGUGCAAGAUUGCUUCUUACUUUUCCAUGAAAUAGCACCACCAUUUAGUAAGAAAGCAUAACCGGAUGUUGAUUUUCUAUCAUUCCGGUCACCAGCCCAAUCAGCAUUUGUAUAACCUCUUAAGAAUAAUUCAGAUCCAUUAUAACAAAGUGUAUGAUCUGCAGUUCCCUUCAAGUAUCAGAAUAUUCUCUUUACUGAUUUUCAAUGAUCUCUUCCAGAAUUGGAUUGAUACAUGCUAUAUACUCACAGCAUAACAAAUGGCUGGGCGAGUACAAAUCAUAGCAUACAUCAAACUCCUAACAACACUAGAAUAAGGAACUCAAGACAUGUCUUCCUUUUCUUUUUCAGUCUUUGGACACAUUUCAAGGCUUAAAGUUUCACCCUUUGAUACAGGAGUAUCCAUGGAUUUGCAACUAUUCAUUCGAAAAUGUUCCAAUAUUUUCUUUGUAUAAAUUUCUUAAGAUAAACUCAAAAAUUUCUUAGAACGAUCUUUGGAUCUUAACACCCAAUAUAUAGUCUGCGUCAUCCAUAUCUUUCAUAUCAAAUGAUUUUGAAAGCCAUGACUUGACAAUCUUCAUAUACUCCAAAUUAUUUCCAGCUAAUAAAAUAUUAUCUACGUAAAGAGGAAGAAUUACAAAAUUUCUAUUGGACUUUUUCACAUAGAUGCAUUGGUUUUCAUCGAUCAUGGUGAAAUCAAAUGACAUCACCUCCUUAUGAAAUCUCAGGUACCACUGCCUUGAAGAUUACUUUAGGCCAUAAAUUGAUCUUUUCAAUUUACAAACUCUCUUUUCUUGGCCUUUAACAACGAAACCAACUGGUUGUUCCAUGUAGAUUUCCUCGUUUAAUUCUCCAUUGAGAAAAGCGGUCUUCACAUUCAUUUGGUGUAAUUAUAGAUCUAAAAGUGCAACAAUAGCUAAAAGUAAUCGUAUAGAGGUAAACUUCACAACUGGUGAAAUUUUUUCCUCAUAGUCUAUUCCAACUUCUUGAGUAAAACCUUUUUCCACCAAUCGUGCUUUGUGUCUUUCUAUCGACCCAUCUGAUUUGCGUUUAACUUUGAGAAUCCAUUUAUUCCCAAUAGUUUUACGUUCCUUAGGAAGGUCAACUAGAUUCCAGACUUUAUUAGUUUUCAUGGACUCUAAUUCUUCUUUCAUUGCUUUUAACCAUUCAUCUCUUUUAGCGCUCAAUAAGGCCUCGGUCAGAGAAUUAGGUUCAUCCAAUUCUGUAGGAGAUACACCAAGAAAGCAUAAUCCUCAAUCUCAUAAGAUCGUGUAGGUACACAUUUUCUUGUACUAUUACGUAUUUGAAGUUCAAAUUCCUCUAUAGGAUUUUGGGAUUCAUAACUCCCAAUUGAACUAGGAUUUAUUUCUUGAUCCAUUGAAUUAUCAAGUAUGUCUGACAACAUUACAUGAUCUUAUAAAUUCAACAUUUCGUAGAGAGGCUCAACUUCAUUUUUGGACAUAGUUUACCAAACUCACCAAAGCGAUCUUUAAUAUAUGUUGCACAACCCCACGGUCGUAGAUCAUUAAGAUUUAUUUUAUGACCAGUCCAAAGUUCAUAAGGAGUGGAAGAAACUGAUUUAGUAGGCACUUUGUUCAAUAUGUAAGUUGCAGUCAAUAACGCAUCUCCCCAAAAAGAGAUAGACAAAUUUGUUUGCGCCAUCAUUGAUCUUGUCAUGUCCGAUAAUGUUUUAUUCCUUCUUUCAGCUACACCAUUUUGUUGAGGUGUAUAAGGAGUAGUUAAUUGUUUGAUAAUACCUUUUUCAGCACAUAAUUCUCCAAAUUGUUUUGACAAAUAUUCACGUCCUCGGUCAGUUCUUAAAGCCUUUAUGCUUUUAUUUAAUUGAUUUUCAACUUCAUUCAUAUAUCUUUUAAAGCACUCAAGUGCUUUAGAUUUAUGAGAAAUCAAAUAGACAUAACCAAAACGCUUGAAAUCAUCAAUAAAUAUAAGGAAAAAUUACAGAAAUCCCACCUUUUAGUUUACUUAUUACCAUUAUCCUCUAUAAGUUUUACAAAUCUCCAAAAUCCCUCAUUUUCGCACAUCAGAUUAAUGUAUCAGCGCUUAUAUUAUUGUAUCUCGCGCAUCAGAUUAAUGUAUCAACGUUUAUAUUAUUGUAUUCGUUUGAGAGAUUUUUGUAAUUAUAAGCUUUUAAGGGAUAGAUUGUAAUUUUGCCUUAAAAAGUAUGUGAUUUCUGUAAUUUGCCCUAAAUAUAAUGAAGUAUGUAGCACCAGACUUUAGCCUUACAUUCAUUGGACCACAAAUAUCAGAAUGAAUUAAUUGAAGUGGGAACUCAGCUCUCUUAGCCUUCCCAAAUGGUUUACGCGUACUCUUUCCAGCAAAACAAUUUUCACAAGUUUGCAUAACAAUUUUGGUGAAAGAACCUAAAUGCCCUUUCUUUGCCAACCUAUUUAUUCGAUCUUGCCCUAUGUGACCUAAUUUUGCAUUCCAUGUAAUAACAUCAAUAUCAUUGUUAUUUGAAUAACAUGCAAUUACACAAUGGUCAACAUAAUAAUCAUAAGUUGAAGGAUUACAAUCUAAAACGAUUAUAACGUAGUCCAAAACCAUAUAAAACAUUAUCUAAAAUUAUUCUAACACCAUUAUGACUAAAAAAAUUCAAAAUCAACGUCUAAAAGAACAUACAUAGAUACUAAGUUUCAUCGAAUCUGUGGAGCAUAUAGGACGUAAUCAACAUCAAGGAACGACCACCACGCAAGUCCACUUUGCAAGUGUGUCUAUACCUUUGACUUCCAGCCUAGCAUUAUUUCCUACGUAGAUCCACUUUGAUUUAGAUGAAACUCGACGAAACUCCACAAAUGCCUCUCUAUCUCGACUCACGUGAUCGAUGGAUCCUGAGUCUACAAUCCACAUAGGAUAAAAUUCAAUUAGUAAAGAAAUGCUAGAAACAUGUGUAGCACUUAGAGAUGCAUUUAGAAGUGCUACAAUUUUGAGCUCGGUAUAUUCACGAGCAAAAUGCCCCAGUACUUGGAAAUUGUAGAACUUCAUUUUACUUUUGUCUCUCUUUUUGAAAAUCCUUUUCCUUUCUUGGAAUUCGACUUCUUCUUUUUCUUAGAGAGUCCUUCUCCAGUCUCUUUGUCUUUCCCAUUUCUUUUCCAUUCUUCUUGCGCAUGAAGCCUGAAGAUUUUGUAGCACUUGACUCUACCACAAAGGCAUUAAAAGCGACUUUACUAGCACGAUGACGCUCAUCUUCAAGUUCAACAUGAUGUGCAAUAUCAGAAAAAGUUUUGAUGCUAUCAUUAUGAAUCAAGUUAACCUUCAAAUGUUCCCAAUUAUUGGGACGAGACCGAAUCACUGCCUAAACUUGUUGCUCAUUUGAAAGAACAUGUCCAACACUCUUGAGUUGAUCUAUCAUGUUUCACAUCACCCUAAGGUGUUGUUUGAUAUUCUGAUCAUGAUGAUUUUUAUAAUUGUCAAAUUGAUAGUCAACUGUCGGAGAUGGGUUACAGACGUAUCCUCAUAUGCGCCCACAUAGCCUGAGCAAUAGUGAAUUCCUCACAUUCAUGUAUGGGGUCAUCAAACACAGAACUAACUAUUAUUCCUUGUGCAGUGAAAUUAGCUUUUUUUCAAGCUUUGUAAGCUUCAGGAUUCCUUCUGUGUUGUGUCGUAAUACCCUCUUCUGGUUGAUUCAAAACAUGAUUUAUACCUUUUAGGGCAUUUCGCUCUUCCAGUACAUACCAUAUUUUACGACUCUAGAUGUCGUAAUUGUCACUGUUAAAUUUUCACCUUUGUUUAAGUCAGCAAUGAUACUUUUUUAUGUCAUGUUUGUUAUUGAGAUAUGUUAAGGCAAGAAUUUUUAAUCAAUUAUGCAUGCGACAUACACAUUCAAGCAAAUCAAUUCUCAUAAAGAUUUUAUAUUUAAUGUUAAAUCGAAAAGACACGUAUGCAUCCAAUCAUCAUCUACAAACUAAAUAUUUAACCAAAAUUCAAAUUUAAUUUCUUAAUGUGUAUACUAAUAUAGUAAAGACUUUAAUAGCAAAGAUUUUUAAGUCUAAUAACAUAAAUUGAGGAAAAACAAACUACAUAAUUCAUAUAUUGAAAAACAAUAAGCAAUAACAAAUUACAAGUCAUUCAAAGACUAAAAUCCUCCCACAAGUCAUCAAGACAACAAAUAUACACCCUAAAAGGCUAAUUGGGUCAAAUUUCAUGCCCCAAGGUUCACAGAGAGCGUCUGUUAAAUAAGCUAAGGCUUUCCAAUCUGAAAUUCCCUUAUAAUCAACUAGUUCAACCCAUUUUAUUUCAAAAGGUGAAUAAAAUCACGUGCUGAAAUAUUAAGGGACAUCUUCAAAGACUCAAACUCUUUAACUUUUUUCUCUUUUUCCCUUCGAAUGGCCUUUUCAAUCCUUAACAGAUUUUGUGUCACCCUUGGGACACCAAUUCAUAUGAUUUCAUGUCCUCAGAAACAUGUCCUACGAUGACUUGAUCUUCUACCUUGUCCUUUUGCUCGACUUUGAGAACUCCCACUUGGAGUAAUUUGAGCAUGUUCCCGUUCAGCCAUAUCUCUCAAAUAAGAACAAAAUGGAAAUAUGAUUAAUAUCAUUUAAUGCGACAACGUAUGUCACAAAUUUCACGCAGAAGACAAGGAAUUGCUUAAGGAACAUAAGGACUAAACGAAUUUAUUGAGACCAAUUUUAAUGCACAUAAUUAAAAUCAUAAUUUAGUCAAAAUAAUUGGUCAAUAAUUAGAUUUUAUACAUGCAUACAUACACACACACACAUAUAUAUAUAUAAAUUAAUAAUUAUCAAAGUCAAAAAAAAAAAAAAAUUACUGCACAAAAUUAAAUUAUAGAUCUGCCAUAGUCAUAAAUAAUUUUCCUCAAAUAUUAAAGUAAGAGGUACUAUUAAUUAUCCAAGUACAAGUAAUAAGUUUUUGCAUACAAAAAAAACUUGUACAACCUAUUGCAAAUUAAUUUCAAUGGUAAGCAAAAUUAAUAGUAACUACUCUUUCAUAUGAAUAAAUAUUUAAUUUAAACAUGCUCUUUCCAAGAAGUAAAGUAUCAAUACUACUUGAUUUUGUCUUUAUUUAUAAAAGAACAAAAUAGUACUAAUACUUUUUAAGGAACAACUUUUGAGGAAAUAAGGGAAAAGAGACUUUUUCAAAACCCAUAAAAGAACAUUACUUAAUUUAUUUAUUUUUAUAAAAAUGUGGCAACCAAGACUUUUGGGCCUUAGUUACUAUAAGUAGGUCAUAUAUCAUCUCAAGAAACAAAAAACUUCAUUAAAAAAGAACCCUACCCACAAUUUUUUUCUUAUCAUUUAGAGAACAUUAGAUAACAUCAGAUAUGUUGGAACAAAAUUAUCGACCCCUUUCUUUUUAUUUUGCACAAGAAAUCAGAUUUUCAACAUUUCUACUUCUCUAGAAAUUCAUGAAAGAAAAAAAAACCCGAAUUCACGGGACGCAGACAACGUAUCUGAUUCAAAAUAAAAAAGACACAAUAAUGGGUUCUAAUUUUCAAUCAAUAUAUGUUCUCCUAUGCUUUUUAACAAGUGAGUAACAUGUACUCUCUGAUUUAUUUUACGAGUUUUCUUGCAAAAUAUUUGACAGAUAUUAUUAACAAUCAUCUUAUAACAACAAAUUACAAGAAACAAUAUUCAAACAGAGAGCAAAACAACCUGGCUCUGAUACCAUUUGUUAAGUAUAUAAAGCGAAAUCAACGAGUUGUGUACCUUAUACUUUGCAGCGGAAGUCGUUGACUUUGCUACUUUAACAGGAUUGCUCCAAAGUCCCACUUUGAAUCACUAAGAAACAAAGUUUGAUUCACAAACCAAAAUAUCUAUCUUCAGACAAAAAAAGUUUUUUUUUCUUCUUCUAAUUUGUGUUAUCUUUUUAUUGUUUAUUUUUACAUUGUUUUUUUCUUCUUUGACUGUAAAUGAAUAAAUCCUUUUAUCAAGAGGGGUUGGGAAGUUUUUCAGUUUAAUAAUUGUUCCCCCUUCUUUUUCAAAUAAGAGAUAAUUAGUUCUUAUCCUUUAUCAGACAACUUCUUGGAUUGAAUCAAAUCGGUCAACAUGGGCGACCCACGAUCCAAAACUUACAAAUAUUUUGAGAGAAUUAUAUGAUGGUUGUUAGUGGAAAUGUUAAUGGUAAUUGUGGAUGCCUACUCCAACCAAUCGAUUUGGUAAUUGAUGAUGAUGAUUGUGGAUACAUAGUAAUUGGUGAUGAUUGUGGAUAUAUAAUAACGGGUGGUGAUAAUGGUUAAUAAUAUGUAGUUGUUAUGAAUUGUAGUUGUGGUGGUGGUUGAUGGUAAUUAGCUAGUGGCGACAACGAAAUAACUAAAGUUGGCUACAUAUGAUAACUUAUAUUGAUGGUGAUGAUUAAAAGCAGUGAUAAGUGAUACAUGGUUGUUGAUAGUGUUGUUGUUAUUAUAAUGUUGGUUAAUGGUUGUGAUCAUAUAUAACUGAGGAUUUAUUGUAGAGACUAUUGAUUUUGAUGAUUGAUGACGACGAUGAUUGUGGUUGUAGAUAUGGACGAUAAUAGUUGAUAAUGACAGGAGGCAACGAUUAACAAUGAAAUGGAUAGAGUAGUGGUGAACCAUUUUUACAAAAGUUCUUAAAUGAAUAACAUCUUGAACAUGUUAGGACUUUGUUACAUAUCUUAAUUAUUUUUUUAUUUAUUCAGAUCCAAUACAUUAUUGUAGGACAAAAUUAAAAGAAUUUAAUUAGGGUGUGUGCAUUCGAUUUGAUUUUGUAUUUGUUGGUUUCGAUUUUUCGAUUAUUGAUUUUGUAAACGUGCAACUCAGUUCGAGCUAAAAUAAAUUUGGUUUGAUUCUAUUUUCUUUUAGAUUUGUUUUUUUUUCAAAUCGUUUAUUCGAUUAUUUUAAUAAUUAAUAACAUAAUCAAAAUUAUAUUUGCAUAUUGAAAAAAACUUAAAUACAAGGAGAAGUUAUUUUAAAGAAAAUAAAAAUUGACCUAGUUGGGUCUUUAUUAUAUAAGUAAAAUUAGAAAUCCACAACUACGUUCACUGGCCCAAAAGUGCAAGGCGUAGUAAUAAUAUUGAAUCAAUUAAAUAUACUUUCUUAUCUACAUCGCAAAUAAAAUAUUAAAACACAAUACUUAAAAAUAUAUCAAUAAAUAUUCAAACAUAAAAUAUAAUAAUUCGAUUGUUUUGAUUAUCCAGUUUUUAUUCUUUUUAAAUUCGAAACCAAAUAAAAAAAUAAUCCAAAUUAAAAUUCGAUUUGAUUUGAUAUUUUGAUUUAAUCUGAAUAAUGCACAUCCAUACAUUUAAUAAUUAAAAUUCAGACCUAAAAGAUAAACUCAUUUAAUAGCUGAGAUUUAAAUGCUUAAGAUUUAAAGUAUCUUUAUUAAAAACAAACAAACGAGAUUUUACACUUUCUAUGUGGUGAAAAUCUUACACAUGUUUUAUUCUUAUGUUUCAAAACCAAACAAGUCAAAGCCUUAUAUAAUGAAACUCAUACACAAGGAAACACUUAUCUAAUUAAAUUGCAAUCGAAAAGAGGUUCAUCAGAUCGAUAAGGUUAUGCAACUUGUUGGCUCGAAUGGUGUUGCUCCUUCGCGGUGGAGGUUGUCCUUUUAGAAAUGCUCUAAAAAGAGUAAGAGCUUGUGAAGGAGAAGUAUAAGGAACUUCAUGAGCUGCACCUCUAACUGUAGCAAAUGUUAAAUAUGUUACAUUUUUGCCUUCUCUUACCCCUCCAUAUGAUUGACUCCAUCCUCCAAUCUGCAAAUUGAUCAACAAAUUAUAUAUACACAUGUUUUCGUUGUUCGAUCCCAAAAUGUGCUCAGUCUAAUAAUUUAAGCUUUUAGAUGAGGAGGUCAUACACUUUUAAUUGGUAUCAGAGCAAGAAGAGCUCCUGAGAUCGAAUUCAACUAAUAAAAAAUGUGUUCUCUCUAACAACUUAAUGUUUUAAAAGAGAUGGGUCACACACUUCAACAGUUAUAAAUAAAUGUUUUUAAGAUUCUUUUUGUGGUAUGAUCCAAAACUGAAAACAGUUGAUGUAUUCACAUACCUGCAAGUCAUCAUACCAAGGACCAUAUUUGUCUAAAGCAACUAGCUUUAAAUCUCUAGCAAGUAGUUUAGCAAUUUUCCUAGUUUGGGUCACUGGGAUUUUUGUAUCUUGGUCUCCACUGGAAAAAAACAAAACAUACACAAUCUCAUUAAGAGUAGCAUCAAUAACAAAGUUUUAAAAGUACCAAGACUAAAUAUAUACUAGUUCUUUACGAAGGAAAAUGACCAAAAAUACAUCUGAACUAUUUAAAAUAUGUAAAAUUUACUCUCGGUUACACUUUUGGCACAAAAAUAUCCUCACCGUUACUCAACUAAAUUGGAGGGUCAUUUGAGCUAGUUGACUAACAACAAGGGCACCUUUUUUCUAAAAACGUAGCAGGGUAAAGUUGACCUAUUUAGAAUAUUUUGGAUAUUUUUUCCCUUUUCCCUUUUUACAGGGCAUGAACACACUCAAAGUUGGCCUCAGCUGACAAGUAAGCACUUUAACUUUGAAAAUGUACAUCUAGAUACCUCAACUUGAUCUCAACUGACAAUUUAACUAUCAAACUUAUCCUCACAGUAUCUUGUGGACCUCUGACACUGACAUGGCACAUAAAUUUUGGAGAUGUCUAUAUAAUUAUUUUGUAACUUGUGGAAGAGUGGAGAUAAGUGCAGACUCAAAGUUGGAGUGUUUACUUGUCAGGUGAGCCGAGUUUGAGUGUCAGUUUAGUAUUAUGUCUUUUUACAAUUGUCGUGAUCAGAGGAUAGUAACUUCAAAUGUAGUAAUGAACUAACCUGUAAAGCAGAACUUGGAUAUUCUCUUUUAGUAUAUUUGACAAUAGAGGUAUAACAUUUAUGGCUAAAUCACCUCUUUGAUACUGAAGGUGCCUGCAAUUUUUUGAGAUAUUAACAUACAGACUUGUUUAAACAUAUGUUCUGUCUAACAGCUUAAGCUUUUAAAUAUAGAAAUGCACACGCUUCAAAACGCGAUAGAAAGUAAAAGGGGGAGAGAACUGACCCCAAACAAAAAUCCCAGGCAUAUGGCAGGUGAGUGGUGUUAGCAUGUAGUGCCUUUUGAACUUCUGGUUUGUUAAGGUACAUAUAUAUCCUAUCAGUAAGGCAUGGAUCACCAGAUUUUCGCACGUCCUGUCAAAAGAACAGCUGCAAUGAGUUAGUUCCAACUGCGAAGAAAGUUGAGAGAAAAGAUUCAAAAUUACACCUUUUCAUGUAUUGUGGCAAGUUUUCCAAGGACUCCUAGUUGUCCUGCUGCACCAGAAGAUACACAUAUUGGCGCGAGCAGAUCGCCCAUAUCUGUAUCACUUCCCAUCUCCUCAUUCGUGAGUUCCCACACUUCCGAGCAGUCGUUAGACAUAUUAUUAUGUAUUGAUUCCAACAACAACCUCGUUUCGUUACAGAUUGUUCUUUUCAUAGUAAGCAGUUCAUCAGAAAUUGCACCAUGUGACCAUAGAUAUUCGGAAGACUUAACGCUUAUUUCAAGAUCUAGUAGUGGAUUCCCCAGCUGCAAAAGUCAUUGGAUAAAGCAAAGAUUUGAAUAUAAAACGAUUAAUCAACAAAUAGUUCAAGGGUAAUGUGAACAUUACUGCAAUUGAUUUAAGUUUGAUUGGUUUAACAUUAGGCUUUCUGUUGUAAUCAAUCAGCAAUAUUGUAAGCUGUGGAAUAUAGUGACCUAAAAAAAAAAAAAAACAGAACAGUUAACGAAUCUUUGCAACCGAAAGAACAAAAUGGACAUAGGCGAGUUAAGUCUUCUGUUGCUCGGACUCUUCAAAAAUGUCAACAUUGUCUGUCGGAUCCUCUAAAUGUGUACUACUUUUGGAGGAUCUGACACGGGUGUGACAAGUUUUCGGAGAGUCUGAGCAACAUAAAAGUUCAGAUAUAUUACCUGCAUAACUUUCACCAGCUAAGAAUAAUUCCGAGUUCUUAUAUUCGGGGAAUUUCUCUAACCAGUUGAGUAUAAAUUGGAGAUUCUCCUUUGCUAUAUAAAAGAUUAAAAAGGUGCAAAAUCAGACAUUUCAAUUGCAUUUUAGUACCAAAUAUUAUUAGCUAUUUCUGGAAAAGUGGUGUACCUGUUGCAACAUCAUCCCAAUUGGUGUAGUCUGAGCUUGUAUUCGAGUAUGAAAAUCCUACUCUAAUCGGGGACUCAAUGUAUAACAUGUUCGAUUCUGUUUCGUAUUAUACCAAUCAAAAUCGGUCAUUGUUAUCUGAUUUUCAAGGUAAUGAAAUCUUUUCAAUAUGAGCAUUCAAGAUAACAACAACAACAAAUCCAGUAUAGUCCCAAAAGCGGGGUUUGGGCAGGGCCGAGUGUACGUAGACCUUACCACUACCACGAGGAGGUAGAGAGGUUGUUUUCGGAAGACUCUCAGCUCAAAUAACGAACAUCAGAGCAGCUAACAGAAGUAAAGAGGACAUAGAAUAUAAUAAGGAAAUCAUAAUCUAACAUACCAAAGAGGGGAAACAUAUCCAACUAAUGUGAUAACUGAAGCACAGUAAGUAAAUAACAAAGUAUAACAAAAGUCGUAAGAUAGGCCAACUAUAAGACAAAUGCUACUACUACUGGUAAAUAAAUAAGAAUCGAGAAACAGAUACAAUGCACCAAUCUAUCCUGCUAGGAAAUAAGACAACGCUCAACUACCUACUAACUUUCUACCCUAAAAAAAUAAAUAAAGAAACAUUACCUAAAUUCCAAGAAUACUUGUUUUUGAUUAGUCUCCCAUCUUUCCCUGGCUGAAAAGGACCAUGUUCCUUAAAAGCACCAAACCCCACAGAUGAACAACCAGGGCCUAACAUAAUGGAUUCAAUCAAUAUCAAAUGAAAAUCAAGGUCAAUAGAGAAGUGGUAUAUAAUAUUAUAUAGCUCGGACUCUCCAAAAAUGUUGUUGUUUCUGUGUCAAAUCCGACACACAUAUCGAUAUUUUUGAAGAGUCUGAGCAACAUAGGAGAUAUGUACCUCCAUUGAGCCAGAGAGUAAGGGGAAGUGAUGUUGCAUUUUCUGAAUCCGCUUCGACAAAAUAAUAAAAGAGAGAUCUACCAUGUUGAGAAUUUGUAACAAUAUAACCAGAGUAUUGUUUGAAGAAUAUAUUUGGAGGUUGUCCAGGAAGAGAAGUUAUGAGCUCACAACUUGAUUUGUAGAACAACAAGUAAGAAAAAAAGAUACACAGCCAUGGAACCAUUUUCAGAUGGAAUAAAAAAAGAAGUGAACUUGAGUGUAUCAAGUGUCAACAAGUUGAAGUACAAUAAGUGUACAUUAAUAUUAAAUUAUUUUAAUUUAUUGAUUGGAAAGUAGGCCAUGAAGAUUUAAAUAUUACAUCAAUGUUUAAAUAUUGUUAUACUACUACCAAGAAAGAUAAUUUUUUGACCAACUUCAAAGAAAGGUGUUCAAAAGCUUAACUAUGUUUUUUCUGUUACAAAAUUGGCACACAUAAUUUGCUCUUGUUUUCCAGCUUAGCUAAUGGAAUUGUAACAAAAAAUUUAAAAGAACAAAUAAUUGUUACCCCUCAAGACUUUUGUUUAAAGAAGACACUUGACUUUUGCGGUGUUCUAUUACCUUCAAAUAAUUUUGAAUAGUAUUAGUAUAUUCUUUUUCGGUCACCUGACAUAGAGAGUGUGUGCACUCUCUUAAAUAGCAUGAUAAGUUAAAAAAUGAUUAAUUUUCCUCUUCUUUUUUUUGGUUAUUUCAACUGUUUUUUCAUUUCUUUCUUCUUCAAAAGUCUCUUGCCACCAUUUCUUCAUCUUCGUCGGACCCACCACCUCACUUCCAAUGCUACCAUUUUUGUCACAACUCCACCCACCUUCUAUUAUUAUUAUCACUUUUAACUCUUCAACUUCAAAAUUUUCCUCACAUUUCAAACAAUUUUGUGAAAUUCAUUAGAUUUUAAGAUGAUUAAGAGACAUCACAUUCUGUUAUGAACGGGCCAGAAUGUGAAAAAAAGCUGGAUAUAUGCCUCUCAACCUAAAUAUAUUUUGUUUUUUUCAACUGAAACAGAAUUUACAUCAAUACAAUAUAUUAAUGUUUAAACGUGUAAUCAAAUUCAAACAUUUUGAAUUUAAUAAAAACAAAAGAUUCCACGAGCCAAAAGAGAUUCAUCAGAUCGAUAUAAUAGAAUUACACAGCUACAUCGCUGCAAUGGCGCUGCUCUUUCGUGGUGGAGGAUAUCCUCUCAAAAAUGCUCUAAAAAGAGUUAGAGCUUGUGAAGGAGAAGUAUAAGGCACUUCAUGAGCUGCACCUCUAACUGUAGCAAAUGUUAAAUAUGUUACAUUUUUGCCUUCUCUUACCCCUCCAUAUGAUUGACUCCAUCCUCCAAUCUGCAAAUUAUAUAUACACAUGUUUUCAUUGUUCGAUCCCAACAACGUAAACAAUGCCGGACGCAAGAUUUUCAUUCAGGAGUGCAAAAUAUGAAGAAGUAAAUACGGUGUCCGCUAAAAUUUAACAAAUUGAAACUACAAAAUGAGGAAUUGAGCACGCAACCUCAAUGACAUGUCAAACUUGAAACCCUGGACCAUUAUUGGGCUACACCUCUCAAUUGUACUAAGGAGGUUCAUUUAAUGUUAUAUUCGUAAAAUAUUCAAAUUUGGCCUUAUAUAUACAAUGUAAUUUUUUUGCUCAUGGGGUUCGGGUGAACCCCCUCACUCCCACGUAGAUCCGCCCCUACGUAGAGAGGAAUACAAGAUUUAGAAUUAAUAGGUUUGAAGCAAGUGCUUUUAUUAUUAAGGGAAAGAGCUCAGCUAUAUAUGACUUAGAGCAAAUUUACCAUCCAUUUAAGAAGUGUCUUGGUUUUUAUCCUCGUUGUUAUCAAAUUAUGGCUCAAUUUCGCCGUUGUAGGCGAACGACAUAACACAAGGGAUAAAUGUAGAUUAUUCAUAAGUUCAAGGGCAACUCAGAAUCAUUCGUAAAGUUCAAAUGCACACUAUUUUACUUCUCUCCUACCUAGAAUCACAUAAUAUUUUGAUUUUAACAUUAAAAAUCUCCUACAAUUUAUCAUAACAACUAGUCCAAUUUGAUUUUGGAUAAAUCAAGAAAUAAACAUUGAAAGACAAUAAUUUUAAAUCAUUAUGAAGUUAGGAUUAAAGAAAAAGAAGAGUCUACACGUUCAAUUAAUUGAAAACGAGACACUUAUUUUAAAGAAAGGUAAAUUUGCUCUAAAUUAUGUAGUUUAGAGCUAAAUUCGGACCUUUGCCAUAAAAAAAAAAAAAAGAUAAAUUGAUGCACUAAGCUCACGUUAUGAACAUACCUGCAAGCCAUCAUACCAAGGACCAUAUUUGUCUAAAGCAACUAGCUUUAAAUCUUGAGCAAGUAGUUUAGCAAUUUUCCUAGUUUGGGUAAGUGGGAGUAUUGAAUCUUGAUCUCCACUGGGACAAAAAAAAAGAAAACAUACACAAUCUUACUAGACUAGUAAUUUUUAACAAAACCAAAAGGCAUAAUACAUAAAAGGCCCCUUCAUUUGGCCUUAACUGGCAAUUAUACCCUCCAACUUUGAGUGUGUACAAGUAGACACUUAAAUUUGUAUAUAGUUGAACAAGUAGACACACACGCCCUACGAGGCGUACUACAUCACAAUUUGCAGUCCUUCGUGUGUGUCUACUUGUUCAACUUUGUAUAAGUUUAAGUGUCUACUUGUGCACAUCCAAAGUUGGAGUACACAAAAGCUAGUUGAGGCCAAGUUAAAGAACACGCUUAUGUAUUAUGUCAAAUCAAAAGUACCUUAUACUAAUAACUUCAGUUUCAGUACUAAUAAACUAACCUGAAAAGCAGAAUUGGGAUAUGCUGUUUUAGAAUAUUUGACAGCAGAGGUAUAAUGUCUGUAGCUACAUCUUCCAUCUUAUACUGAAGGGGUCUGAAAAUGCACAUUCGCUAAUUUAAGCUUUUAGAUAAAGCGUGAUACAUUACUUCAAGAGAAAGUAAAAAGAAAGGAAGGAGAGAAAACCAACCCCGAACAAACCUCCCAUGAAUAUGGCAGGUUAGUGGUGUUAGCAUGUAGUGCCUUUUGAACUUCUGGCUUGUUAAGAUACAAAUUUAUCCAUUCUUUAAGACAUGGAUCAGCAACUUUUCCGACUUUCUUAUCAAACUGUCGAAAGAAUAUAGCUCCAACAAGUUAGCUCCUAAACACAUAUAGUUCGCGUGGAACUUAGAUUGCAUAUAUACCUUUUCGUGUACUGUGGCGAGGUUUCCAAGGGCCUUUAGCUGUCCUGCUGCACUAGAAGAUACACAUUUUGGCAAGAGUAUAUCAUACCUAACUAUAUCAUUUCCCAUCUCUUCCGUUUUGUGUUCCAUCACUUUUGCACAUUCGUUAGAUGUCUCAUUAUGUGUAUACUCAAUCAUGAACUUUGUUUCAUUACAGAUUGUUUUGUGCAUAUCAAGAAGUUCAUCAGAAAUGACACCGUGUGCCCAUAAAUAUUCAGCAGACUUCACGCUUAUAUCAAUAUCUAGGAGUGGAUUCCCUAGCUGCAAAUUCAUUGGAUUAAGUGAAAAUUUGAAUGUGAAACAAAUAGUUCAUCUAGGUAACGUAAAGUAAACAUUACUGCGAUUGAUUUAAGCUUGAUCGGUUUAACAUUAGGCGUUCUGUUGUAAUCAAGCAGCAAUACUGCAAACUGUGGUAUAUAAUGACCUAAUUAAGAACAAAAAAAUGUUAGUUGAACAAAUCUAAUUGAGAAUAUAUACACAACUAAAGGAACAUUUGAGAUGCGUUAACCUGCAUAACUCUCCCCGGUUAAGUACACAUCCGAGUUUCUAUAUCGAGGGAACUUCUUGAACCAUUUGAGGAUGAAUUGGAGAUUUUCCUUAGCUGUAAAAUCAAACACUUCAAUUGCUUUGACUACGAAAAUCCUAUUCGAGGAAAUAUGGUUUACCUGUUGCUGUAUCAUCCCAAUUGAUGUGGUCUGAGCUUGUAUUUGAGUACGAAAAUCCUACUCCAAUCGGGGAGUCCACAUAUAACAUGUUUGAUUCUGUUUCGUGUUAUAGCAAUCAAAAUCAGUCAUUGUUAUCCGAUUUUCAUGUAAUAAAAAAAUCUUUCGAAUAUGAUCAAUCAAGAAACAUUACCCAAAUUCCAAGAAAAGUUGUUUUUGAUUAGGCUCCCAUCUUUCCCUGGACGAAAAGGACCAUGUUCCAUAAAAGCACCAUAACCCACAGAUGAACAACCAGGGCCUAUGAUAUUGGAUUUUCAACCAAAAUAAUAUCUUCUCAGUUCAAUUCUUCAAAUGAAAAUCAAGGUCUGUAGAGAAAGUGCUAUAUUUCUCAAAAAUGUUGUUAUAUCCGUGUCGGAUUCUCCAGAAAUGCACUAUUUUAGAGAAUCUCUCACACAAAGUUGUUAGGACUGAAAUAAUCAAGUGUCAUGCGGAAAGCACCAUAAAUAAGAAGACAAAUGAAAAAUAUAUCAAAAGAUGUACAAAUAUUUAACAUGGUUCGAUCAAUCAACAUAAUCCACAAGAGGAUAUAAGCAAUUCACUAAUAUAAAAGAGAGUACAAAAAAUUCCAAGGAAAUAAUCUCACAAAAUCCACUCAGAACAAAAAGAUGUUCACACAAGUGACAACAUAAUACUUGUGUGUCACAAAUUUUCCUAAAUAACUCUCAAAACCCUUAAGACUACUUAUGGAUGCUGCCAAAUUAGAAGACAGAGUCAUUAACUUUUUUCCUACAAGAGAAAGUAAUACACAAAUAUGGAAAGAUUGUGUUUUCCUUUUAGUAAAAGGAGAGGAAAACUCAGAAAUUCAGGACAAACACCCAACACGAACAACACAGAAGAAGUGUACGUACCUCCAUUGAGCCAGAGAGUAAGGGGAAGUGAUGCUGCAUUUUCUGAAUCUGCUUCGACAAAAUAAUAAAAGAGAGAUCUACCAUGUUGAGAAUUUGUAACAAUAUAACCAGAGUAUUGUUUGAAGAAUAUAUUUGGAGGUUGUCCAGGAAGAGAAGUUAUGAGCUCACAACUUGAUUUGUAGAACAACAAGUAAGAAACAAAGAUACACAACCAUGGAGCCAUUUUCAGAUGUAAUGAUAAUAAGCAUAAAUUGUUAUGACUUCGAUAUAAAGAUUGAUAUCUAAUUAUUUAAGUAAUUAUACAGAAGGCCAUAUGGAUUAAUUAAUUAAUUAAUAAAUAGUACAUCACACUGACAUAAAAUAAUUCAUGGCAGAUAUGAUUCAAUUAUUUAAUAGCCAAUGAAGCCUUGGUCAUAAAGGCGAGAUGAUAGAGCUAAUUAAUACACUUCAUCGAAAAAUUACACUAUAAUUAAAAUUAUUCAUUUUAUAUAUAUAGUUGAUGUUAAACGUGUGUUUGGUAGGAAGGAAAGUGUCUCAUGUUUGGUUGGUUUAAAAGUUUUGGAAAAUGUUUUUAAAUUAAUUUAUUUUUUCUAAAAUUUAAGAUAAAUGACUUUCCUUCAAAAAUUAAGGAAAACAUUUUUCAAAACUCUCCUCCAACCUCAAAUUACAAUUUUUUUUCUUACCCCGACCCUUCCCAUUCAAAAAAUAAAAAAAUUAAAAUUUUAUUUUCCAAAAAUAAUUCAAAUUCUAAAAUUUACUCCUCCCAACCCUUGACUUCCCCUACCCGAAAAAAACAAUAAUUAAAAGUUUGUUUUUGAAAAGAUUUAAAAAUUUCAUUAACUCAUAGCUACCCCACUCCCUCCCUAAAAAUCAAUUUUAAUUUUUUGUUUUUUAAAGAAAAAUAAAAAUUGACCUAGUUGGGUCUUUAUUAUAUAAGUAAAAUUAGAAAUCCACAACUACGUUCACUGGCCCAAAAGUGCAAGGCGUAGUAAUAAUAUUGAAUCAAUUAAAUAUACUUUCUUAUCUACAUCGCCAAUAAAAUAUUAAAACACAAUACUUAAAAGUGUAUCAAUAAAUAUUCAAACAUAAAAUAUAAUAAUUCAAUUGUUUUGAUUAUCCAGUUUUUAUUUUUAUUUAAAUUCGAAACCAAAUCAAAAAAAUUAAAAAAAUAAAAUCUUAAUUCAAAAUUAAACAAAAAAAUAAUUAACCAAAAAAACAAUCCAAAUUAAAAUUCGAUUUGAUUUGAUUUUUCGAUUUAAUCUGAAUAAUGCACAUCCCUACAUUUAAUAAUUAAAAUUCAGACCUAAAAGAUAAACUCAUUUAAUAACUGAGAUUCAAAUGCUUAAGAUUUAAAGUAUCUUUAUUAAAUACAAACAAACAAGAUUUUACACUUUCUAUGUGGUAAAAAUCUUACACAAAUGUUUUAUUCUUAUUUUUCAAAACCAAACAAGUUAAAGCCUUAUAUAAUGAAACUCAUACACAAGGAAACACUUAUCUAAUUAAAUUGCAAUCGAAAAGAGGUUCAUCAUAUCGAUAGGGUUAUGCAACUUGUUGGCUCGAAUGGUGUUGUUCCUUCGCGAUGGAGGUUGUCCUUUCAGAAAUGCUCUAAAAAGAGUAAGAGCUUGUGAAGGAGAAGUAUAAGGAACUUCAUGAGCUGCACCUCUAACUGUAGCAAAUGUUAAAUAUGUUACAUUUUUGCCUUCUAUUACCCCUCCAUAUGAUUGACUCCAUCCUCCAAUCUGCAAAUUGAUCAACAAAUUAUAUAUACACAUGUUUUCGUUGUUCGAUUCCAAAAUGUGCUCAGUCUAAUAGUUUAAGCUUUUAGAUGAGGAGGUGAUACACUUUUAAUUGGUAUCUGAGCAGGCAGAGCUCCUGAGAUCGAAUUCAAAUAAUAAAAAGUGUGUUCUCUGUAACAGCUUAAUCUUUUAGAAGAGAUGGUCACACACUACAGUUAUAAAUAAAUGUUUUUAAGAUUAUUUUUGUUGUAUGAUCCAAAACUGAAAACAGUGGAUGUAUUCACAUACCUGCAUGUCAUCAUACCAAGGACCAUAUUUGUCUAAAGCAACUAGCUUUAAAUCUCUUGCAAGUAGUUUAGCAAUUUUCCUAGUUUGGGUCAGUGGGAUUUUUGUAUCUUGGUCUCCACUGGAAAAAAAACAAAACAUACCCAAUCUCAUUAAGAGUAGCAUCAAUAACAAAGUUUUAAAAGUACCAAGACUAAAUAUAUACUAGUUCUUUACGAAGGAAAAUGACCAAAAAUACCUCUGAACUAUUUAAAAUAUGUAAAAGUUACUCUCGGUUACACUUUUGGCACAAAAAAAUCCUCACCAGUACUCAACUAAAUUGGAGGGUCAUUUGAGCUAGUUGACUAACAACAAGGGCACUUUUUUGCUAAACACGUAGCAGGGUAAAGUUGACCUAUUUAGAAUAUUUUGGAUAUUUUUUCCCUUUUCCCUUUUUACGGGGCUUGAAUACACUCAAAGUUGGCCUCAACUGACAAGUAAGCACUUUAACUUUGAAAAUGCACAUCUAGAUGCCUCAACUUGAUCUCAACUGACAAUUUAACUAUCAAACUUAUCCUCACAGUAUCUUGUGGACCUCAAGACACAUAAAUUUUGGAGAUGUCUAUAUAAUUAUUUUGUAAGUUGUGGCAGAGUGGAGACAAGUGCAGACUCAAAGUUGGAGUGUUUACAAGUUUGAGUGUCAGUUUAGUAUUAUGUCUUUUUACAAUUGUCAUGAUCAGAGGAAAUUUGAUUAUAGUAACUUCAGUAAUGAACUAACCUGUAAAGCAGAACUUGGAUAUUCUCUUUUAGUAUAUUUGACAAUAGAGGUAUAACAUUUAUGGCUAAAUCACCUCUUUGAUACUGAAGGUGCCUGCAAUUUUUUGAGAUAUUAAUAUACAGACUUAUUUAAACGUAUGUUCUGUCUAACAGUUUAAGCUUUUAAAUAAGAAGAUACAAAUGCUUCAGAACACGAAAGAAAGUAAAAAGCGGAAAGAACUAACCCCAAACAAAAAUCCCAGGCAUAUGGCAGGUGAGUGGUGUUGGCAUGUAGUGCCUUUUGAACUUCUGGCUUGUUAAGGUACAUAUUUAUCCUAUCAGUAAGGCAUGGAUCGCCAAUUUUUCUCACAUCCUGUCAAAAGAACAACUGCAACGAGUUAGUUCCAACUGCGAAGAAAGUUAAGAGAAAAUAUUCAAAUUUACACCUUUUUGUGUAUUGUGGCAAGUGUUCCAAGGACUCCUAGUUGUCCUGCUGCACCAGAAGAUACACAUAUUGGCGCGAGCAGAUCGCCCAUAUCUGUAUCACUUCCCAUCUCCUCAUUCGUGAGUUCCCACACUUCUGAGCACUCAUUAGACAUAUUAUUAUGUAUUGAUUCCAACAACAACCUCGUUUCGUUACAGAUUGUUCUUUUCAUAGUAAGUAGUUCAUCAGAAAUUGCACCAUGUGACCAUAGAUAUUCGGAAGACUUAACGCUUAUUUCAAGAUCUAGUAGUGGAUUCCCCAGCUGCAAAAGUCAUUGGAUAAAGCGAAGAUUUGAAUAUAAAACGAUUAAUCAACAAAUAGUUCAAGGGUAAUGUGAACAUUACUGCAAUUGAUUUAAGCUUGAUUGGUUUAACAUUAGGCUUUCUGUUGUAAUCAAGCAGCAAUAUUGUAAGCUGUGGAAUAUAGUGACCUAAAAAAAACAAAAACAGAACAGUUAACGAAUCUUUGCAACCGAAAGAACAAAAUGGACAUAGGCGAGUUAAGUCUUCUGUUGCUCGGACUCUUCAAAAAUGUCAACAUUGUGUGUCGGAUCCUCCAAAUGGAUCCUCUAAAUGUGUAUUACUUUUGGAGGAUCUGACACGGGUGUGACAAGUUUUUGGAGAGUCUGAGCAACAUAAAAGUUCAUAUAUAUUACCUGCAUAACUUUCACCCGCUAAGAAUAAUUCCGAGUUCUUAUAUUCGGGGAAUUUCUCUAACCAGUUGAGUAUAAAUUGGAGAUUCUCCUUUGCUAUAUAAAAGAUUAAAAAGGUGCAAAAUCAGACAUUUCAAUUGCAUUUUAGUACCAAAUAUUAUUAGCUAUUUCUGGAAAAGUGGUGUACCUGUUGCAACAUCAUCCCAAUUGGUGUAGUCUGAGCUUGUAUUCGAGUAUGAAAAUCCUACUCCAAUCGGGGACUCAACGUAUAACAUGUUCGAUUCUGUUUCGUGUUAUAGCAAUCGAAAUCAGUCAUUGUUAUCCGAUUAUCAGGGUUAUGAAAUCUUUUCAACAUGAUCAUUCAAGAUAACAACAACAACAAUCCUAGUAUAGUCCCCAAAGCGUGGUCUGGGGAGGGUAGAGAGUACGUAGACUUUACCACUACUUAAAGGAGGUAGAGAGGUUGUUUCCGGAAGACUCUCAGCUCAAAUAACGAACAUCAGAGCAGCUAACAGAACAAUACAGAAGUAAAGAGGACAUAGAAUAUAAUAAGGAGAUCAUAAUCUAACAUACCAAAGAGGGGCAACAACCAUAACCAACUAAUGUGAUAACUGAAGCACAAUAAAUAAAUAAUGAGGUAUAACAAAAGUCGUAAGAUAGGCCAACUAUAAGACAAAUGCUACUACUACUGGUAAAUAAAUAAGAAUCGAGAAACAGAUAUAAUGCACCAAUCUAUCCUGGUAGGAAAUGAGACAACGCUCAACUACCUACUAACUUUCUACUCUAAAAAAAAAAAAAACAUUACCUAAAUUCCAAGAAUACUUGUUUUUGAUUAGUCUCCCAUCUUUCCCUGGCUGAAAAGGACCAUGUUCCAUAAAAGCACCAAACCCCACAGAUGAACAACCAGGGCCUAACAUAAUGGAUUCAAUCAAUAUCAAAUGAAAAUCAAGGUCAAUAGAGAAGUGGUAUAUAAUAUUAUAUAGCUCGGACUCUCCAAAUAUAUUGUUGUAUCUGUGUCAGAUCCGACACACACAUAUCAAUAUUUUUGAAGAGUCUGAGCAACAUAGGAGAAAUGUACCUCCAUUGAGCCAGAGAGUAAGGGGAAGUGAUGUUGCAUUUUCUGAAUCCGCUUCGACAAAAUAAUAAAAGAGAGAUCUACCAUGUUGAGAAUUUGUAAUAAUAUAACCAGAGUAUUGUUUGAAGAUUAUAUUUGGAGGUUGUCCAGGAAGAGAAGUUAUGAGCUCACAACUUGUUUUGUAGAACAAGAAAGAAGAAAAGAUAGUGAAGAUACACAACCAUAUUGGAACCAUUUUCAGAUGGAAAAAAAAGAAGUGAAUUUGAGUGUGUCAAGUGUCAACAAGUUGAAGUACAAUAAUUGUACAUUAACAUUAAAUUACUAUAAUUAAUUGAUUGGGAAGUAGGCCAUGAGGAUUAAAAUAUUACAUCAAUCUUUAAAUAUGAAACACUACUACCAAGAAGAUUAAAUCCUCACCUACUUCAAAGAAAUGUGUUUCAAUAUAUUGUGGUUUGCGCAAUGGUCUAAUUUUGCUAUACGUUCAAAAAUCUAGGCUAACUAUGCUCUUACAUCUUAUCGUUAUAAAAUUGGCACACAUUUGCUCUUAUUUUACAGCUUAUAAGCUAAGGGAACUGUUACAAAAAAUUUAAAAGAACAAAUAAAUAGGACAAAGAUCCAAAAUUGCCCUUUAUGGUUUGCAAAUUAUUCAAAAUUGUUCCUUUUACUUGUUUACUUCGUGAGUUUUAUGUUACGGAUGUGUCUAUUUGUUCAAUUUUAUACAAGGUUAAGUGUCUACUUGUGCACAUUCAAAGUUCGAUGACAUAAAUGUAUAUUGAAGUCAAGUUAAAUGACACGUUUAUGUAUUGUUGGAAAAAUAAUUCUAGUAUCUCAAAAAGAAAUAUUCAUAUUAUUAUCUAUAUUCAUUAUAUUAGAUGAGUGUUAAUAUCUUUCUAAUCAUCUUAUAAUUUAAUAUUCUCUUGGGUCAAAAUAUAGCUUCUGUUUUGAUGCUUGAUAAAUUUUGGUGAUUAAGAAGUACAAAAGUUGUCAUUGGUGUUCGGUUAAAAAAGGUAUGUGACAAUACUUUAUGUCUAUGAUUUUAAUAUAUUUGUGUGUGGCAAACUGUCAAUAUACCCCUUAAUGUUGAUGUAGAUUUUGGAGCAAUGAGAAUACCGCCAAGUAAAAAUAAAUUUGUUAUUAAGCGGAUGAUAAAAUUGUUGUGCUCAUUUCUCGAGCGAAUCGUGUGGUUAAUAUGUGAAAGUGAGAAAUUGGGUGUUAGACUUUGGUGUUGUUACUAAAAACAUUUUAUGUUCUACACUCAAAUUGGAGAAGAAGAAAAGUUUAUAUAUGUUGGUGAUUCUAGAAGUACUUAAGUUCUUAGAAUAAAAAUAUUCUUCUUAAUAUUUCUGUAACACUUCGAAAAUUUCUAAGUUAGGACCCAAACCAUUUUUGAAUUGCGUAUAAGGUCGUACUGAGUGAUUUUUAAUUGUUCUUAGAUUCUAAGGUCAAUUCACUAGUGUGAGAAUGAUUCUGGAUAUCAAUUAAGGUCACCAAAAUCUCCUAGCACAAAGUUGAGUUGAAAGCUUCCUUACCAAUUAAGUUUUGACUUAAGAUUCUACUUAAGUCAGCUUCAAACAAUCAUAUCUCUCAGCACAUAAAGAAUUAGGUGGUCCAUGACUUAUCAAAUUAAAGAACUUUGAGUCCUUUUUCUAAGCCCACCAAGUUUGCUUCAUUUAGAGUUCAGAGUAAAAAGAUAUGUCCAUUUUAGUGAAGCCUCUUUUGGUAGAUUAAUUAUUAAAAUUUUGGGACUGAUUUUCAUUUUAUUUUUGGAAUGUUUUUUUUAAAACGGGUGGAUUUUUUUAACUCCACAAAUGAUUUUAGAAUUAGUUUUUUUUAAAAAAAAAUUAAUAACAUGGCCUAAUUAUAACUGGCCACACAUAAAAAUAGUUUUGUAAAACAAGAUAAUGACAUUUCUCAAACGGCAAUGACAUAGCUGAGCCAAACUUUUAGCAAAUGUCAUAAAUGAGCCUUUUCUCAAAGUCCAAUGGUAUAUUUGAGUCUUUUUUCCCUUUGAACAAAACCAAAAAAAUACCUUAUACUAAUAACUUCAUUUUUAGUACUAAUAAACUAACCUGAAAAGCAGAAUUAGGAUAUGCUGUUUUUGAAUAUUUGACAACAUUGGUAUAAUGUCUAUCGAGCAGUUCAUCAGAAAUGACACCGUGUACCCAUAGAUAUUCAGCAGAUUUUACACUUAUUUCAAUAUCUAGGAGUGGAUUCCCUAGCUGCAAAUUCAUUGGAUUAUGGGUGUGUUGGUACGAAAAUGUUUUCUAAUUUUUCCAUGUUUGAUUGGCUUAAAUGUUUUUCAAAUCAACUCAUUUUCCUCAAAUUUAAGGAAAAUGACUUCCUUUCAAAACUCUAGGAAAAUAUUUUUCGAAAACUCAUCUUUCAAUAUUUUUUUUCUUACCCUACCCCGGUACCCCGUACCCCACCCUCCCAUCCAAAAAUAAAUAAAUAAAAAUUAAAUUUCUUAUUUUUUUAAAUUUUAAAUAUAUUUUUACCCAUAUCCCAAACCAACCCCCAGCCCCCCAAGUCUUCCCCGUCAAUUUUUUUAUAAGAAAAAAAUAACUUUUGGAAAAUAUUUCAGAUUUAAAAAAAAAAUCAUUUUUUACACCACCCCCAUCCCUACACCCCCACCCCUGUCACCCCCUACUUAGGCCACCCCCUAAAAAAAUCAAAAAAUAUUUUAAAUUUUAAAUUUUAAAAAAAAUAAUAUUUUUCUAGGUCAAAUCUCAAGGUCAGAUUUUGGAACGGCCAUCGAGGUCUUGUCCAAGUUUGGGUGCCAAGUUCGGGUUCUAGAUCAAUUAAUGGGGUUGAUUUUUGGAUUAAAAAUUAUUUUCCUAAAGAGUAUUUUCAACCAAAAAUAAAAGAUAUUUUCUGGAAAAUAUUUUUCAUUUACCAACCAAACAUUAAAAAAUCUACUCACCAACCAAAUAGGAGAAAAUAAGUUAAAAAUCCACUUGUUUUUCAAGAAAAUAAUUUCUAGCAAAACAUUUUUCUUCAUACCAAACACACUCUAAGAUCAAUUAUAAUUCUUAGCAUUUCUCUUGAAAUUUUAUUCUCGAAUUUCACAUAUCUUUCAAUUUCUAUUUUUAAUCUUCAUAAUUUCACCUCUACAUUAUUUUUCUUAUUUAUUCAAGUAACUCGACUCUUAUCAAUAUUAUACUACACAAAUAAGGUAAAAUUAUGUUUACAUAAAUGUGUUAACUAUUGGGUUUUUCUUGGUCAGUAAAGAAGAUGAAGAUGAAUCCAAUGAAAUAAACAAUUUUUUUUUGCUGAAAAUUGAAUGAUGAACAACAUGCCAAACAAACUUUGUUCCUUUCUACAUUUCUUAUACUACCAAACAAACUACUUUUUCCGUUUCAAUUAAUAUCACAAGAUUCAGAAGGUGACUCUGCUUCGUUUUCAUCGUACUGCUCUUUUUAGAAAAAAUUUACAAUGGUAGAGAUCCAACCAACAAUAGUUGUGUGGGGCUCCAUUCUUCUUUUGACACUUGGAUGGUGGACCCAUUUUUUUACUUUUUUACUAUUCUUCUUCCACUCACUCUUCUUUUUGUUUUGUCUUAGACUUUAGUUCAUAUAUGUGCAGUCAUUAUAUAAACGAGCUAUCAAAUAAUAAAUUUGAAUUAAUUUAAUUUUUGAAAAACGCUAAUAAUUAAGAAACUGGUAUUUUUUUUUAGUUAAUUUUUAUACUAUUAACAAUAUUGAAUAAUAAGAUUAUUUUUAUUAUUCAGUCAUGAGAACGUUUUCAUUUGACAAAAAAUAUUUAUUAGUAUUUUUAUUAAUUAUAUCAAUUGUUUACUUAUAUAGUUGGGAGUUGGAUAUUUAUUAGGACCUGUAAAAAGAAUUUUUAAAAAAUGUAAGAAAAGAGGAGUGAGUGGAAGAAGAAUAGUAAAAAAGUAAAAAAAUGGAUCCACCAUCCGAGUGUCAAAAGAAGAAUGGAGUCUCACACAACUAUUGUUGGUUGGGCCUCUGCCCUUGUAAAAAUUUUCCUCUUUUUAUAUUCAUCUAAGCUAUAUCAUUCUUUCAGCAAAAUUAAAAAAAUAUAUAUAUUUUUAGCAGUGCAAAAGAUUCAGAUGUCUCUCAAAUUCUUCAAACCCCUUUUUGAUUCUUUCACAUGGCCCCUACAAGAACUCAAUGUUGAGCAAUUUUUCUCCUGUUUUCUUGGUUUUUUAUCUUUACUAUGGUUCGUUUGGUGUUUCAUUAGUAACUCAAACAAGGGAUUGCCACCGGGGACUAAAGCUUUGCCUUUGAUAGGUAAUCUACAUACUCUCAAUCCUGAACUUCAUACCUAUUUUGCAUCUCUGUCCCAAACUUAUGGCCCCAUUUGUAGACUCUGGCUUGGUAAAAAACUUGGGAUUAUUAUUACUUCGCCUGCAUUAGCUUGUGAGGUUCUUAAGGAUAAAGAUAUCAUUUUUGCUAACAGAGAUGUCCCUGCUGCUGGAAGAGAAAAUUCAUAUGGUGGCAAUGAUAUACUUUGGAAUCCUUAUGGACCGAAAUGGAGAAUGUUGAGGAAGGUUUGUGUUCGCGAUAUGCUUAAUUGUUCUGCUUUAGAUUCUGUUUAUUCACUAAGGAGAAGGGAGCUUAGACAAUCGAUCAAUUACUUGUAUAGUCAGAAGGGUUUACCCGUGAACGUUGGUGAACAGAUGUUCUUAACUGUGCUUAAUGUGAUUACAAGCAUGUUAUGGGAUGGCACAGUGAAGGGUGAAGAAAGAGCUAGUGUUGGAGCUGAGUUUAGGCAUGUUGUGACUGAGAUGGCUGAGCUGGUUAGUAUUCCUAAUCUUUCCGAUUUUUACCCGGGCUUGGCUUGGUUUGAUUUCCAGGGUGUUGUAAAGAAGAUGAAGGUGUUGGUAAAGAGAUUUGAUAACAUGAUUGAUCAAAGACAAAAAUUGGAUAGAAAUGGUGUUGGCCAAGAAAACAAAGACUUUUUGCAAGUUUUGCUCAAGUUGAAAGAUGAAACAUAUGCCAAAAUGCCUCUCACCAUGAUUGAACUCAAAGCCUUACUUAUGGUAUGUUUAUCAGUUGUGCAUUCUACGAAAUUCGUUUUUUUAUCUUCAAAUGAACCAAAAAGAAAUCUUCCUCUCCCCAGUUAUCACUGCAUUAUUAUUGAGUAGCCAAGAUUGCAUUUGGCAGAUAUUUUCUUUUUUAUAUUAUAAGGAUCAAAAUCAUUGUGGCAUAUGGGAAAUAAAUUUCAGAAGAAUCAGAUUCGUAAUUCAUGUCCUGGGCUGUUGGCUGUGUGAUAUUAGACAUAAUAAGAGGAUCGAAUUUUAAUAAAAGUUAAAAUUAUGAUCAUAAAUGUAUUGAAGAAUUAUUGUGGAAGAUGUGUAAUAAAUAUUAGAUUCAUAUAUUCAUGUUCUGAAAUGUUAGUUGAUACCAUGUUAUUGGACUAACUUAAGGAAAGAGUCUGCGAAUUUAGCAUCAGAUAAUAUGUGAAAACUUAACUGUGAAUUAAGACUAAACGAUUGUUGUACAUGAUAAUAACUUCACAAAUACUAUGGACAGGAUAUGGUUGUCGGUAGAACUGGCUCAACCGCCAACACAGUUGAGUUUGCCAUUGCUGAAAUUAUGCACAAACCCGAUGUCCUGAGAAAACUACAACUAGAACUAGAUAUAGUGGUGGGAAAAGAUAAUAUUGUGGAAGAGUCUCAUAUACAGCAAUUACCAUAUCUUUAUGCGGUGAUGAAAGAAGUCUUGCGCAUACAUCCAGCUAUUCUACUAUUGGCGCCACAUUGUCCUAGUGAAACAUGUACUGUGGUAGGAUACGUUGUUCCUAAAGGAUCUUGUGUUUUCAUAAACGUUUGGGCUAUACAGAGAGAUGCUUCUAUUUGGAAAAAUCCAACAGAGUUCCGUCCAGAGAGAUUUUUGGACAAUAAAUGGGAUUAUAGUGGAAAUGAUUUGAACUAUUUCCCAUUUGGUUCUGGUAGAAGAAUGUGUGCGGGGAUAGCCAUGGCAGAGAGGAUGUUCAUGUAUUCAUUGGCUUCGCUCAUUCAUUCUUUCGAUUGGAAAUUGCUCGAAGGAGAGACAUUAGACCUUACAGAGAAGUUUGGCAUUGCUUUGAAGAAGAAAAUGCCUCUGGUGGCUAUACCUAUUCCAAGAUUGUCUAAUCCAACACUGUAUGAGUAAGAUAAUAAUGUAUCUGCAGAGAGUCGUGUUCUAUAUGACGAUUUUGUCUGUUGUAUGACCAUUUGAAAUUGAUUCAAAGCUUUCUAUGCAGCAAAAGAAACCAUUAUCUUCUCUCUUCUCUCUUGGUGAAAGUUCUCUCAAAAACCAUUGUUAUGUGCUAAUGUCUUUCAAAGAAAAAUACUAAUGAGCAUUGAAUAAUUCUCCUAAGUUUCCUAUUUAUAGAUAAUGAGUGAUGUUUUUCUUCUAAUUAUGACCAAAAUAACGAAGUAUCAUGCGGAAGCUAACAAAGAAAACCAGGAAGACCAUGAGUAAGAAGAUAAAUGAGAAAUAUGUCAAAAGAGACAUAAAUAUUUAACGAGGUUCAGUCAAUUGACCUAAUCCACAAAAGGAUAUGAGUAAUCCACUAUAUAAAUAAAGAUAUAAAAUAUCGAGACAAAUAACCUCACAAAAUUAACUCAACUUAAAAAGAGGCUUACACAAGUGAUAAUGUACCACUUGUGUCUCACAAAUUCUCCCUUUAAACAAAACUCUCAAAGCUCUUAGGACUACAUUGUGGAUGCCACCAAGUUAGAAGGAAUGAGCCUCUUUUUAUAGAACUAGUUUUGGGACGUGCUUGGCUCGUUUAUUCCAAAAACUUAAUCUAACAUAUAGUCAAUGAUAAAUUUGAUACAAUAUAUUAUGACUUUCUUUGCGCUAUGAACUAAAAAUGAAAACAUACAAAAAAAAAAACUAAGUUAUAGAGUCCUUUUAGGGCCCGUUUGGAUUGGCUUAAAAAUAGUAGUUUUUAAGUCAAAAAUAAAAGGUCAAACUGAAAUGACUUUUAAGUCAAAAAAUAAAAAGUAAGAGGAUACCUACUUUUGGUUUUUGACUUAUUUAAGUCAUUUUAAACUUAUUUUAAGUCAUUCUUGACCUUGCCAAACACCUCUCAACUUAUUUUAAGUCAUUUUUUUAUUUUAUUUUAAGUUAUAACUUUCACAUAUAGCAAACAUAAAAAUCAUAUUUGUAUGUUAUAGCUAUAGCUUGCAUAAUUGCGCUCCAUAGCAAAUUUUAUAUUUGCUAUGGAACUUUUGAUUUGUAUAAUUCGCUAGAAACAUGCAGUUUUAUAAAAUUGUUCAGUUUUGUAUAAAUUCAUUUAUACAUUGUAAUUUGUAUAACAAGAUCUGUAUUUGUAUAAUUAUAAGUGUAUAGGACAAAAAUAUAUGUAUUUGUAUUUGUAUAUACACUUUUCUCUGGCUUUAUACAAACACAAACGCAUUUUAUACAUUUUAUAUCGAAAUGUAUAAAAUGACUAAUUGUAUACCGAAUCAGAUGACCAAAAAAUGGGAUGUUUGCUGCGAAUUACAAUUAAAAUAAACUAUGGCUAUAACAUUUAAUUUGAAUUAAUAGUUUGUUAUUUCAUACAAUUUUCCCUUUUUUAUAUUUGUCAAACACUUCCAGAAGUCAAAAACUAACUUAAAAGUAGGUUUGACCAACUUUUAAGUCAAUCCUAACACCCUCUAAGGGUGUGUUUGGUAUGAAGGAAAAUAUUUUCCGAAAAAUGUUUUCCAAUUUUCCCAUGUUUGGUUGAGUUAAAUGUUUUGGAAAAUAUUUUUCAAAUCAACUCAUUUUCCUCAAAUUUAAGGAAAAUGACUUCCCUUCAAAACUUAAGGAAAACAUUUUUCAAAACUCUCUUCCAACUUCAAAUAGCCCUCCCAACCCCACCCCACCCCCCAAAAAAAAAUAAAAAACUAAAGCUUGUUUUAAAAAAAUAUUUUUAACUUCAAUUUUUUNNNNNNNNNNNNNNNNNNNNNNNNNNNNNNNNNNNNNNNNNNNNNNNNNNNNNNNNNNNNNNNNNNNNNNNNNNNNNNNNNNNNNNNNNNNNNNNNNNNNNNNNNNNNNNNNNNNNNNNNNNNNNNNNNNNNNNNNNNNNNNNNNNNNNNNNNNNNNNNNNNNNNNNNNNNNNNNNNNNNNNNNNNNNNNNNNNNNNNNNNNNNNNNNNNNNNNNNNNNNNNNNNNNNNNNNNNNNNNNNNNNNNNNNNNNNNNNNNNNNNNNNNNNNNNNNNNNNNNNNNNNNNNNNNNNNNNNNNNNNNNNNNNNNNNNNNNNNNNNNNNNNNNNNNNNNNNNNNNNNNNNNNNNNNNNNNNNNNNNNNNNNNNNNNNNNNNNNNNNNNNNNNNNNNNNNNNNNNCCCCUACCAACCCCCACCCCCACCCUGAAAAAAAAAAUAAGUUUGUUUUUAAAAAUAUUUUCAAUUUUAAAAAUUAUUUUCUAUUCUAAUAAAAAUAUAAGAUAUUUCUCAAAAACAUUUUUCAUUCAUAAACCAAACACUAAAAAUCUUUUCCGAAAAAUAUUUUCUACUCACCAACCAAACAUGAGAAAAUAAGUCAAAAAUCUACUUGCUUUCCAGGAAAACAUUUUCCUUUAUACCAAACACACUCUAAGUCUAUCAAUGCUUACCUUAACAUAAAUACACAAUUGGUUAUAAUUCAACUAUGUCAAGAUCUCUUGAGACUUAUCAGUUAUCUUACAACAACAUAUAAACACAAAAACUUUAUGAUGAUGCUAAAAUUAAACAAGAGUGUGCGGGUCUUAAGGCUCAAUUUGAUGCAUUACUUGCUUCGGGAGGGAUUCUCCCUUGUUCCGAUGAUGUCGCUUGCCCUCCUUGAUCCUCUCAAUCUCAACCUACUCAACAUCCAGUUUAUGGUCAACAAAGAGAUUCGAUAGAGGAGUCUAUUAGUGAGGAAGAUGAUGAGGAACAUGUGGCCAACACACUGCCGCAUUAUUGAAGUUUAGAGUUGUAAUAGAUAUAAUUUAAAUUCCUUACUUUAAGGUUGUUUUAUGAGACUUGUUAUGUGUUUUGUUAAUGCAAGAUAUUUUUGAAAUCCUAUUAUAUAACUUAUAACUUUUAUGUUUUAUUUGUCCAAAUUUGAAUUACUUUAAGUUGAUUUUCAUAUUGAGUUGAUAAGAGAAUAUUUAGUAAAUGUAUUUUGUUGUAUUGAUUGAAUGUUGGCAGCUCUUUGAUCUUGAUUUGGCUGAUUAGAAUAUAUAUUGAAUUAAAAUGGUAGGUGUGCAGCUGCACUCUGCAGUAAUGUUCUCAUCCGCAGCAAUGCAUUGCUCCAACUGAUCCAACAAAGCUAGGUAAAUGGAAGAUUAAAGAUGCUCGAGUGAUGACAUGGAUUCUAGGGUCAAUUGACCCUCUUAUUGUUCUUAAUCUCAGGCCGUACAAGACAGUUAAGACCACGUGGGAUUACUUAUAAAAGGUUUCCAACCAAGAUUACUACGAUUGAAUGUGAAAACGUAAUGUAAACAUUAACGCGAUUGAUUUAAGCUUGAUCGGCUUAACAUUAGGCAUUCUGUUGUAAUCAAGCAGCAAUACUAAAAACUGUGAUAUAUAGUGACCUAAAGAACCAAAAAUAUGUAACAAGAAUUUUGUGAUCAACCAGGCUGAAAAGGACCAUGUUACAUAAAAGCACCAUAACCCACAGACGAACAACCAGGGACUAACAUACUGGAUUCAAUUAUCAAGUUAACAUCUUCAAAUGAAAAUCAAGGUCAAUAGAGAAGUGGUAUAUUAUAUUGCACGGAAUCACCAAAACUAAAACUAGAAAUCAAUAUAAUUAUAUCUUCUUUUUCUUUUCACGAGAAUUGGUUCGUACUUUCACGAUACCUACACUUCCUUUUCUGUCACAAGAAUUGACAAAGAAAGAAAACUAAAACUAAAACAAAACAUAACUAAAUGAGAACCAUUUCUUUCUUAUCCUAUUUUCCAUUCUUCUACUGUCAAAAAAUCAUCAAUCUACUUAGCUCCUUCUUACUGAUGCAUCAUAUUAUAUGCACGUAAGCGGAUCGUUAGCUAACAAGGUAUGCCGGGUUUGCACUUGAGCACGCCAGCAAAGCGAGUGAGCCGUCCUGCAUGUGAACCAGGCUUGAACUUGAUCUUAUGAUUUUUUGUCAAUGCAGUUUUUUUCUUGUCUUGUGGUCCUGACUCCACAAAAUAAGCUCCAUUUAAGAACGAAUCGCCCUCUGAUACCCAUUGCCACUUCUUCCACUCGGAUUCUGGUGCGUAAUCCCUCUUAGUCACCUGCAUUUAGCACCAUCAUGUUAUGUUACCAAUCCACAUAGUACAAGAAAAUAGUGCAUAUAGUUGGUAUUUAUAUACAUCUAAAAGUACAAUGUCAAACUAAAGAGUGCAAAUUAUGUUAUUUUGUUGGCUAAGACCGAUUUUCUAAUAGAGAGGAUAGUGUCUUGAGUUGAUCAGUGUCGGAGCCAAGAAUUUAUGAAAGGAGAUUCAAAAAGUAUUAGACUUGUCACACUAAAGCAACUUUUGAACCCUUUUUGCUACUACGAGGGUGUUUGACUAAGCGUAUAAGCUUAUCAAACUGAUUUAUAAGCACCUUUUAGCUUAACAUUAGAAUCUUCCCUUACAUAUCAAGGGGAUUCAACAGUUUAUGUAUAAAUAACAAACUCGAUUUUGUCUUUAUAUCACAAUAUAAUUUUACGAUGAAGGGAAUCCAAUUGAACCAUCUUGGCUCUACAUAGCUCCGCCCCAGGCUGAUAGAUUUGAUUCCAACCAAAAAUGACUUAAAAGGAGAAGAGUGUGGUAUGAUAAAGACUAUUGCAUUACCAAAACUGAUUAUCUUAUGUCACUAGGUACUUGUGAACCUACCUGAUAUAAUCAUUUUUUUGAAUUUUCCAAAAAAAAUGGUGAAGCCUACCUGCUUAGUAUUAGGAUUAUCGGCAGCCUUGAAACGAUUACCCUGGCUGAUAAUGGUUGGAUGAGCGCUGCCACCAAUCGCGUACAUUUGCCAAUGAGUGUAGUCAUUGUUGACAACAUGGAAGAAUCCCCAUCUGCACCUUGGCAUCCUCUGAAUCAAUCCCUCCCCGAACCGAUUGAAUGCUACUGUGACUUGCAUUAUUGAAUCUUGAGGAAAGGCAUCAGUUGCCCCCAAAAGCAUCACCUGAAUCAUCAUUUGUAAUCAAACUUUAACUACUAGUAUAUGGCUUUUUUUUAAGGGUAGUAACUAGUAAAGAGUAACGUUACGUCGUUAUGAUGGUUGAAUUUGCAAUUAGAAAUGGUGAUAGCAGUGGAAGCCAUGAUGGCAUCAACAAGGCCAUCGGUACAUUCUGACAAAGUGCAAUGAUCAAUCCAGAUAUGAUUGGAACCAAAAAUGGAAAUGCCAUCGCCAUCGCUCACUGUCCUUAGACCAAUAUGGUUAACAGAAUCUCUUAUCAUGCCCCCAUUAGUAGAUAUGAUAUUCUGAAUCCUGAUGUUGUGGAUUAUGACAUUAUGCACGAAUUGGAUCGUUAAUCCAGCACCAUUGGCUAUGUGAACAGCAACUCCCCUGCCAUCGAUUGUCUUGUCACUCGUGAUCAUAAGUUCUUGUUGCAACUUGAUCACCAUUGAUUUCUCAAAGAUGAUCCACAAUGGCUCCUCUUGAAUCACAGCAUGACGAAGGGUCCCCGGUUUUGGUUCCUGCACGUUAUCAUCUGACUCAUCGGUGACAACAUAGUACUUGCCAUUCUUACCACCGGUCGUUUUGUGGCCAAAUCCUCUAGCACACUCUUCCAAAUCCAUCCUGUUUUCAGCCCAAUUUUUGUCACACCUCCAGCAUCUGUCAAUUGGAUUGGUUGCCAUGCAUUUAUUUUUUUCUUUAAGAUUCCUCCUUAAGCUUUUAUACUUCAGCAAUGCACUGCAUAGUACAUCAAGUAAAAUUCAAGCCACUAUUCUUAAACCUAUGUAAGUAAAAUCAAAGGAAAAAUAACAACUACGAUUACGCCUCAGUUCCAAACAAGUUAAGUCGUGCUAUAUGAUGAUAUGUCAUUAUCCAUGUCGCUCUAUUUAAGCUUGUCACUAUCCAAUAUACAAAAAAAAAAAAAAAAAAACAGUUUCUGUAUCAUUAGAGGCUCUCUACAUUUUCUUCUGGCAUAUAAAUCUCGAACAAGUCUAAAAAAACUUCUAGCAAAUAUUGGACCUAAAUAAUAUUCCCUCUGUUUUCACUUUUAUGUGACCCAAUUUUCUUUUUAGUUCGCUUAGAAAAUCAUGACUCUUCUAACUUUGAAAAAAAAAUAAGUUCUCAUUUUUUUUCUUAAAUUCCAUGAAGAUUGAAACAUUUUACAUAAAUUAGAACGGAUGGAGUAUCGGCUAUAUACAUCUUUCGUCCAUUGAACCCUAUUUUUUGCUAGGCCUGCAUUCUUUAUUUCCCGGACUGUUCAUAAAAUGUAGUCACACCCGUGUCAAAUCCUUAAAAUGCAUAGAUUAUGGAGGAUAUAUCCAACGUAACACACACGUCCCAACAGUAUGUUUGAAGGAUCCGAGCAACAUAAUCUUCACGAAGAAAAAGAAAAAGAAACCACUUACUUUCCAACUUCUUUGUUGAAUGCAUUAGUUACUUCCUCAGGAUUAUGUGUAUAUGCUUCAAGUGAAGAGUUGAGGUCUUCCAAAGCUUGUUUUUCCAAAUAUGCAUCAAAUUCAGCAAUUCUGGCAUGUAUAUGUGGGACUAAUGAAGCUAACCAUAUGAACAAUAUUAACAAAAUUGAAUUCCCACUAAUAAAGGCCAUAGCUUUUUAUCUCCUUUAAUUUUCUUUUUUCUUUUGUAGAAAUAUUUCUUGUGUUUGUUUUUUUUCUUUUUUUUUGUUUGUUGUUGUUUUGGUAUUUCUUGCGAAUGACCGGAGAAGUUUGUGAUUCAGGGCGGAGGUAGAAUAUAGCUUAAGGAUUCCGUUGAAUCCAGUAGCUUCGGUUCAAACCUUAUAUUUAUCUUUAAAAGUUUAUUGAAUAUGUACAAAUCAUUAGUUUAGAACUCAGAUUCUGCACCCUUAAACUUCAAAUCCUGGCUUGGCUUCAUCUAGUGACUUGCAUUUUGCUUGUUGUUUCUAGAGGGAAGCCAUGUAUAAAGAGAAAGUUGUUUUAUCUAUCUAUAAAUCCUAUAAGUGAGAUUCUAAAAAAUAGAAAAUAUAAAAGGAAGUACAUAGAGAUAUUAUACAACACACAAUAGAACUUGAGAAGAAACAAAUACGGGUGUCCAAAGACUUAUUUUGAGGUAGCUACUUGUGUUUUACUAACUAACUUUUCAAUGUUUGUGUGAAACAAGUCAUGAAUAAUUCUCAAGAAAAAUCAACUACUUGUGUACACCUUUUUUAUCGUGAGUUUAAUUUCUAUGUAUCGACAUGUUGUAUGUAAUAAAUAUUUGUAUAGUUAAAUUUAUUAAGAAUUUAUAGGUAAAUCUCUUAAUAUUAAUAGACAUUAAUCAAUAAUUAGGUAAAAAUGGUAAUUUAAUUAUUUAAUAUCACAGGUAAAAAUCCAAUGGUGGUAUUAAAAAAAUAUUAUUAAUAUAAAUAAUAACUUAAAUCCUUUUAUUACAGGCAAAUUGGAUAUUUAGGUCGGUGAGUACAACCAACAACACACUAACCAACCCCAUGCUACAUUUUCGUGCUAUUAAGAGUUUGUAUAUCACACACUCAGUUCAAUUUAUGUGAUACUUUUUGCUUAUCGAUAAAAUAAUUUGACUGAUCUUUCAAUCUAAAUUGUACUAGAAUUUGGAUACUCAAAAUAAUAUGAAAAGUACUCUAAUUCAGUUGCAUUUUUUUCUUCAUAAAGUCUAUUUUAAAUUAUUAAUAAAAAAAUUACAUAAUUUAAAUUCUGAGCAGAACAUAGACAAUAAGCACAUAAAGAGUGUAAAUAAUUAAACAUAAUUAUGUGUUUCAGAAUUUAACGUUUUAUUUAAAAGAAACGCGUAAAUACUGCCACUUUUAACAUAUAAGAUUGUAAUUUUUUGGGAUAUAGAUAGAUAGAGUAAGUAGAUCAAAAGAAAACCUUACUUAGGCAUUUCAUCAAAUUCCUUAUUAGGAAAGUAAGCCUUAAUUUAUGUUAAAUUAAAGCUCCAACUUACUUCUUCAAGUUCUCCAAGUAUUCAAUAAUGAUCUACAAAUGUUAGAGCUAAAAUACUUAUAUUAAUUAUAUAUAAUAAAAUCAUACGAAAAGUAAAAGUUUUGGAGUAGAAAAACGAUUUUUCCAAAACUUAUAUUUGUUUGGUUGUUUCAAACAGUUGAAAAUAUUAUUUGAAAUUUAUAGGUCAAUUUUGAGAGUUGAUAAGAAUUGAUUUUGAUUGAAUAUUCAAAUCGAAACUCAGAAACAAAGAAGAACAAAUCUCUUUUUUUUUUCAGAUCUAUAUAAAUAAGUUAUGUGUACUUUGUGUUUUGAGUAUGCUAUUUGUAUUUCAAUUGUAUCACUGAACAUAAAGUGACAUACACAAAUACACUCAACAACAUAACUGUAUGCAAAUUAUACGAAAGUUGUAUGGUUUAACUAGAGUAUUUUUUUUUUUAAAACGGGGUAGGGGAAGAAGAAAUGGGGAGGAAAUUACAAUGUGGAAAAUCAAACUCUCACCAAUAAGGUGGGGAGUUCAGGUAGUCGACCAACGAACUAUUAAAAUUCUCCAACGAGAGUAUGCAAAUUGUAUAUAAGUUAUAUAUUUUGACAUGCAAAAUACAUUCAACAACAUAACUCACCAACAAGCUUUCAUUUGGUAUAUAACACCAAAUAAAAAAUAUAAGUUGAACACACAUGCUAUAGCCAACAUCUCCCACAAUAUACAUAGCAUUUCCCCUCUUAUUUUCAUGUUACUUUUUACUGUUUUGGAGGGACAUACAAUACAGUACAACAUAAGUAACAAGCCACAUGAAGAAAGAAAAAAAAUCAAACAUCAACCCCAUUGCAGCCAUGGUUCACACGCCAAGAUAUCCUGCAAUUAAAUUAGUUUAGACAAAAAAAGAGGAAAAAUUAAUUAUUACAAAUGCUUGGAAAUACAUUGACAACCCCUUAAACUUGCAGCAAAUAGAUACUCAAACUGAAACUUGUUCCAAUUGAACACUUCAACUCAUAAUAAAGUGUUUCUAUAAGCACUUUAGGAUAAAAUUUUGUAGAAAAAAAAGUUGUGCUUGUUCUGAAGCGUAUGUAACUCUAGAGAUAUAGUAAUAUGGAGAAGACGAUUGUUUCAAGCAUCGAUAGAAGAUAGGUUUAAGUUAGCCACAUAAAAUAUGUCAUUAUCCUUUAAGUACACACAUCAGCCUCAAUUGGAAUAGGUCUAAAGUUUUAUGGCUUAUUGAAACAAAUGCAUAUAAUUAAAGAAGGUGACAUUUUAAGUGUAUAUGGCUUAUUGGGACAAAUGCAUAUAAUUAAAGAAGGUGACAUUUUAAGUGUUUAACUUGUUCAUAUAAUGGAUGUUUGAGAAAGUUUAUGUCAUAAUUUGAACUGAAGAAACAUUUUUUCAUGUGUUUAAGUACUCAAUUGGAACAAGCCUUAAUUUGAGUGUCUAAAUGAAAUUUGUUGGCAAGUAUUAGAGGUGGCCCAUGUAUUAAAGCCUAAAAUAUACUUAUAUGGCAUAAAGCUCAUCAAUCAAAAUUGGAUCGGCACUGAAUCUCUAGGUAACUGAGUAACAAAUUUUAUGAGGGAUAUCUAUGUUGAUGGAAGAAGUGUCAAAAACAAUAGGAGUGCAGAAAUUUUAUAGCUAAAAUGUUUAAGCGCUUAACGGGGUGUGUUCUCAGCUAUUUUCACCAACCUAAGACUACUAAACACAGGUAAUUUUCAUGAACAAAUGAUUUCAUAUAAAACAACAUGGGAGAGUGCAGGUUUUAGGGGUUCCAAGCUAAACAAUCAAUUUUUACACUGUGUUGCCAAACUUACAGAAGCGAACGAUCUUCCAGUGUUGGUUCCUGUUGUCUCCUUUCCACCAUUCCCAAAGACAAACAGUGGUCCCAUUGCGGACACCUCCAUGCUCUUUAUCAGCAUUCCAUGCAUCUAGAUUGAGGUUAAUGUUAUUGACCAUCCUAACUGCUCGAUAACCAUCACCCACGUCCCUGCUCUCUGUCCAUAAGAUUGACGCAUCAAGAACGUCGGGUUUGUACGGGGUGAGCUGCACCUGUAAAAGAAGUCCAAUAGGAAUGUAAAUUUUCUAUGCUUACUUCCCUAUCAGAAGCAAUGUAAUAUUAGUAAGACAGGACCCCUGAGCAACAGUGUGUUCGAUUGUUAGUUACCCUUGGGGGCAUAGUAAAAUCUAUUUUUAUGCAUUUGCAGCAAAGGAAGGUGCAUGGAGGCAAGAAAGGCAAAUAUUAGUUGAAGUUGCAUAUAGCAUGUGUAUGCCAUCUGUAGGCAACAGGACAAUAGCAAUUACUAUCACAAGGAACAAGGUUUAUUUAAGAUGCCAAUACUUCUUGUAUAAACUCAAGCCACUAAUGCCCAUGUUUCAUCAAUUUUCCAUUAACUAUGAGGUUUUCUACAGUUAAUGGAUCAAAACUCAAACUUAACAUGGCUACGAUUUCCCUAUUCUCUAGUUCUAACAGAACUUAACCCAUAGCCUCGGUCUAUUUCUAUGUUUGGUCUACCUAAGACUUUUCUCAUGUUUGAUAAGCCUAUGCCAGUUGCAUUUUGUGCUUAUUUAGGAGUUCCGUGUCUUAUUUUUGAUAAAGAAAGAAAAGAGACAUAAAUACUCCUAUAAUAAGCACAAAAUGCAACUUGCACAAGAAAGUAUAUGCAAGUCUUCUCUCAAAAAAAAAAAAUAUAUGCAAAUUGGGUUAAGAAAGUACAUGGACACUAUCUUGCUUUAUUUAUACCAUGUCAAAUCUUGAUUUCAAAAGACUGGCUAUUCAUACAUAGUUACAUACUCUCUUCGUGUUUCAAGGUACAAAUUCUCUUCAGAAAGAUGAUGCAUUCUGAGAUGGCCACUUAACACAUGAAACCGUAUGGAACCUUAGAAGAUCUUGGCAGGAGGAUAUGAAGGCUCACAAUAGGUUAAAAUGGAGAGUCAAGUGGAGGAUUUGCAAGGAAAGCCCACAUAGCAUGAUAGCCAUAGUCUCAUUAUGCAGUGGCUAGUUUUGUAAUACUAUAAACAAUAGAGAUUAUAGCAUCUUCCGGGUCAGUUCGUAUCUACAAAUUGAUAAGAUCCGAAUCUAGUCUAUAGGAGGUUUAUUAAAAGAAAAGGAGCAAUAAUAAUUUUCUUGUUCUAUCAAGAAGGUGCUAUUGCUCCUUUUUUGGGGUUUGAUAAAUUCAUAAUAAAUUCCUUUGCAUCUUCCAGGUACCUUGUAUCAGGCACACAAAAUUAUCUUAUACAUUAAUCUUCCUAGCUCUAACAUAAAGGAUGAUACCCACCAGCUUCUACAAAAAGAAAAAAGGUUGAACAAAAUAAUGUUGCCUCCUUAAAGCCAAAUUCAAGUGACCAGGGUGUAACAAACAAGUGCUAAAAAUCUUCUUAACCCAUAUUUUUAAUAAGGCUGCCUCACCUAUCUAGAGGGGAUCAGUAAUUUGGGUCCAAUGAGUUAUUCACACCCCAACAAAAUAAAGUAUAAGUUAGUAUCUUGCUAAAAGAGGGAAAUUAGAUAUUUACAAGAAGAAACUCUUUCGUGUUGGAGCACAUAUUAUAAAGAUAACAAAAACUAUAAAGACAAUAACACCAUUUACUUUUCUCCACCUCUUCCUUCAGAAAAAAGUACUGCACACAUAAUCAGCAUUAUCUUCUUAUUUUUUCUUUUUUUAAAAGAGUACAUAUUUAAUUAAUAAUAGAUGCAUGUUGGUAGUGUUUAACUUCUAUAGUUGUUUAAUUUAUAGCUGAUGAUCUUUAUCUGUCAACUACAAGUGCAAUUUCUAGAUCUCUGCAUCAUUAAGUAAAUGAAAGGGUACUCUCUCUAAUAGCUCAAACUUUUAGAUAAAAUGGUCACACCAUUCAACAUGGUAUCAGAGCAAGCAAGAUCCUGAAUUCGAGUCUCACCACCAAACAAAAACCCUUCAGUUUAUAUAUUGGAUUACACUUUCCCUCAAAUGUCUAAGGUUUCUCUCCCUCCAUAAUGUCCAAAAAAUACAUACUUGAAUAUCUUUUUUUUUUUUUUUUUUUUUUUUAUGACAAGGGAAACCCGCAGCCGCUUCCCUUUGGGUGCGCACAGGGUAAAACCCCCGCUCCUAUGCAAUAGCUCGCAAACCACAUAGGAGAGGUAACCCGCACUAGGCAAGCCUGGUGCGACGAGCUCGACCCAGAAGGCAAACCCCUUGCUUUCGCUGGCAAGGGGUUUCGAACUUGAGACCUCCAGCAUGAAAGUCCCAAGCCCAAACCACUGGGCCACCCCGAAGGGUAUACUUGAAUAUCUUUUUUUUUUUUUUUGAUGACAAGGGAAACCCGCAGCCGCUACCCUUUGGGUUCGCACAGGGUAAAACCCCCGCUCCUAUGUAAUAGCUCGCAAACCACAUAGGAGAGGUAACCCGCACUAGGCAAGCCUGGUGCGACGAGCUCGACCCAGAAGGCAAACCCCUUGCUUUCGCUGGCAAGGGGUUUCGAACUUGAGACCUCCAGCAUGAAAGUCCCAAGCCCAAACCACUGGGCCACCCCGAAGGGUAUACUUGAAUAUCUUUUUUUUUUUUUUUGAUGACAAGGGAACCCCGCAGCCGCUACCCUUUGGGUUCGCACAGGGUAAAACCCCCGCUCCUAUGUAAUAGCUCGCAAACCACAUAGGAGAGGUAACCCGCCACUAGGCAAGCCUGGUGCGACGAGCUCGACCCAGAAGGCAAACCCCUUGCUCUCGCUGGCAAGGGGUUUUCGAACUUGAGACCUCCAGCAUGAAAGUCCCAAGCCCAAACCACUGGGCCACCCCGAAGGGUAUACUUGAAUAUCUUUUUUUUUUUUUUUUAUGACAAGGGAAACCCGCAGCCGCUACCCUUUGGGUUCGCACAGGGUAAAACCCCCGCUCCUAUGCAAUAGCUCGCAAACCACAUAGGAGAGGUAACCCGCCACUAGGCAAGCCUGGUGCGACGAGCUCGACCCAGAAGGCAAACCCCUUGCUCUCGCUGGCAAGGGGUUUCGAACUUGAGACCUCCAGCAUGAAAGUCCCAAGCCCAAACCACUGGGCCACCCCGAAGGGUAUACUUGAAUAUCUUUUUCUUCUAAAAGAACUCAUAACUGAGCCUUCAAAUAAUUUAAAUGAUCCUUUAUCCUUCAUACUCAAACAUUAAAUUGCAAAAGAUUCAUUUUCCUGUUUUUUCUAGGCAACCUGUGAAAAAAUCCCAGCAUGCAUCAUUUGCAAGUCAGAGCAUUUGCAUUAGGUAGAAAUAACCUGCACUAAAAGCGGCCGGACAAUCACACACAAAAAAUAGAGGAUUAUGAAGCAUACACUGAUACAGCGGAAAUCUCACACAGAUGCAGAUACCACAAGUAAACACACAGGGGAUAGACCUAGGAGCUAGAAAUGGAAGAUAUUAGGUGCAAUUUUAUAUACAUACACAAUACAGUGACAAAUAAUUGACUGGGCACUGACUUUCUUUCCGCCUCACACACUCUCAUCCUUAUCUCCAUUUCUUAACCACCACCUUUCCACCACAACUCCACCAUCAAACCCUCCAUCUCUACCAUGGUACUACUUGAAACACCCAAAAACAUUGCAAGUCAUAGCAUUUGCAUUAGGUAGAAAUCUCUAAUCUCCUUUCUAUGACAAAGAAAUGGGUUGGCUAUCAAAGUUCAUUCCUUUGUGAAGCUUAACAUUAUAUAGGCAUCAUUGAGGAUAUCAUCAAACUAUGAAGCACAAAAAAUCAAACCAAAUAAUACUUUUCAGAGCUUGUGGUUAACCAAGAAUUGAACAUACAGGGUGAGAGGCGCCAACAGAAUGCUUCAGUGCCAGUCCUGAAGCUUUAUUAACCAGAGCAAAGCUUGGAAAUCCCUCUUCAUCCUUCACUUUAGUACUGCACUUCUCAUCUUUAUACCAGUGCUGUAACAAAUUCCAUCCAUUACAACAAAUUCACAGUAAACAACAAAAUCAAAAGAAGAAAAAAAACCUACUUGAAAUGGAUCUGAUGGAUCAUUAGAAGCCAGAACAACUUUUUCAUCACGGAUAGUGAGAGAGUAAUUAGUAUCAGCCUUAGUAUAAACCCUAAAAGAAGGUUUAUCCAUAAGCUCUGGAUCUGAAGUUUGAUGGUGGAAAGCUGAAGGCACAUGUGGUUGAAAAUGAUGACGAUCAUGAUGCCGAUCACCACUCUCACUCUCAUGAGACACGUGUUCAACAGAGGAAUAGUCGGAAGUAGGUGGUGGUGGUGGAGCGUCAUAGUAAUCGGACCUCGGCGGUGGACGAUUGUAAGAUCCACCAUAGUUCUCCUCCAUCGGCGGCGGAGGAUAGUUAGUCCGACCAUAACUAUCAUCCAUCGGCGGCGGAGGAUAGUGAGGCCGGCCAUAAUUAGGUUCCAUCGGUGGUGGUCCACCUUCAUGAGAAGUAUGAAAGACAUGACCAACUUGAGGAGGUGGUGGUGGUUCAUCGUAGUAUGACGGUGGUUGGUGGCCGGGAGGUGGAAACUCUUCUCGACGGUCGUCGUCGUCAUCGUCGCGACGGUGGUGGUGGCCGUGGUGGUGGUGUCCAAAAGGAUAUUCCAUUUGAUAGAUAAUAAUAGUAUUAAAUUUUAGCACAAUCUUUUUUCUUUGAUUCUACCUAUUAUAUAUUGUUGGUGUGUGUGACAUCUGUCUAUGUUUGAUUUAGUUGUUAAGCUAACUUUUAAAAUAGGAAAAUACCUAAGUUUUCUAUACUACCAUUAUUAUUGCACACAUGUCCCAUUUUUAGUUGUUGUGAUUGAUUUGUUAAGCUAUCUUGAUUGACCUUUUAUUUUAAAAUGAGAAGAAAUCAGAGUGAAUCCACAACAUUACUAGAAGAUUUGUAGGAAUUUAACAUGACAUCAAUUUUCAAUUAAACAUUUUAAGUAGAUUUUAAACAUUUGUUAUAAAGUUUUAUUAUGUUAUUUUGAACUUUUUUGACAACUAGAAAAAGAAAAAAAACUUAAGAAGAUUGUAAUACAUUUAUUGAUAAUGCGGUAAAUAACUAACUAAAUGAUUAUAUGUAGCAUUUUAAGUAGAAAAAAUAUUCUAAAAUUUAUUUAAUUAAUAAAAUAAAAAUAACAUAUUUAAGAAAAUAACUUACACCUUAGCCCCUCGUCAGAGGUUAUAUUCUCUACUAUACCCAAAAAUCUCUUUUGUAGAAACAACCUCUUCACCCCCACCCUUUAAACUCUCAGUGUCUCUUAUAGAAAAGUUUAUUUAACAAAUAAGUAUAAAUGUCACAGCUCUGAGCCUACACUCUAGAUGUGGCCGAUACUCGAAGAUUAUUGUCAGUCCUCAAGUGAAUUCUUGACCUAGUUGAUUACUUAGCGAAAGACUAAAACAUACACACGAAAGCUUAAACUGAUGAGCAAUUUAAAAAAAUAAAGUGAAUCUCAAAUGAUGUCCAAAAAUACAAAAUAUAAAAGAUAGAGGAUUAGAAAAACAUUUGAACGAAAACUGAAUGACUCUCCAUCUCUAUCUAUCCAUGAAGCCUCUACUGUUUAAAGAUAGGUGUCAUAAUAAGAUUCAUGACAACCUCAAAAUACUACUACUACUAAAGCAAUAAAAUUGGAGUCCUCCGAAAGCAAGGAAGCAUCACCAGAACAUGACAAGUGGAUGAUGUGAUCUCAAUGGAACGUUUGUUGAUGAUUGCAACAACGAUUGGUGUAAGUACAUGAAACAUACGGUAUGUAAUAAAACUGACUAAAACAAAAAAAACUAAAUUGAAGGACUGAAAGUAACUCAACUGAAGUAAAGCACGAACAUGAAGUGAAAUCAUUUAAGUUUUACAAUAUAAAAUGAAAUGAUUGCAAAUAAAUAUAUAUAUAUAUAUAUAUAUAUAUAUAUAUAUAUAUAUAAAAAAGUAUAUAUACACACACACACUUUACUUUCUUUGAGAUUUUCAUAAACCGACAACUAUUACUAUGAGUCUCGUAAUGAUACAACAUCUCACCCACGUUGCAUAACCGCCCUAUACUUUGCUAGAGUAUAGGACCUAACUCAACUUAUCGAUCCACUAAGAGCCUAACCCAAAGAUGAAGCUCCUCAUUUUGGACAUCAUGUCUAGACCAUCUCUGGAGCAUAGUGAGACAGUUGCACAAACUUGAGAUCAUACUCAUUCACCUUCAUCUCCCCCUGCUUCUGAUUCACAAACUCUUCUAUUUUAGCCUCUCUCAACUCUUUGGGAAAGAAGUGAUCUAGGAAAGCCUCCCCAAACUCAUUUCAUAUGCUCGCAUCCACAUCCUCACCACGACUCUCUUCUUAUUGCUCAUACCAGGUGUGUGCUACAUCCUUGAGUUGAUAAGCAGCAAGUUCAAAUCCUUCAGCCUGAGUAGCAUCCAUUGCCUUGAGAAUUUUCCACAUCUCAUCUAUGAAGUUUUGAGGGUCCUCUUCUACCUUAGACCCUGUGAACACCGGGAUUCAUCCUCAAGAAAUCUCUAAUCUAGAAAAAUCUCAGAAUGUAUUUCUCAAUUAGUUCAACGGUACCCUUGAAAAGGUUGGUUAUAUAUAGCAAAGAGAUGCAAUGGAAGAACCAGAAGAACGUGUCUAAACAAAAUGGCUCUUCCACCUAUAAAAAAGUUGUUUGCCAGCCUUUAAUUUUGUUGAUUGUCUUGCUUAUCAUAUAUGAGUAAUGAGAGUUCUUUUUUUAUUCUUGUAAUGAGAGGGGCACCCAAAAUACGCAUCUUAACACAUAUAUACAAGGGGGGGAAAGGAUAAAUAUACCUCUGAACUAUUGAAAAUGACAUACGUAUACCCUUCGUUAUAUUAUUGAGACAUUAGAGUUCUUGUCAUCCAAAAAGUAGAACAUUUGUAUCCUUCACACUCAGGGGCGUACUCACCCUUGGAUAAGGGGUGUCAAGCGACACUCCUUCAUCGGAAAAUUACAUUGUGUAUAGAAGUCAAAUUUUGAUUUAAUAAAUAUAUAUACAAGUAUUGACACCUCUUGACACUAGUUAAAAGUUUAGUAUAGUGGUUAAGUUGUUGUAAAAAUUCUUUGAGGUCGUGUUCUAGCCCUACUAGUCUCAUAAUUAUAUAUUUUACUACAAGUCUACAACUAUUGACACCCCUUAAUGAUAAUCCUGGAUCCGCUACUAUUCACACUAACGGACGGACACAUGUCAUGGUCUUAACGGGCUAUCCAAAAAAAUUCAAUUUUUUUCCACAAUUGAAAAAUCCACCCGAAAAUCAAUCCAGAUAAUUAUAACCCCAAAAUAAAAACUCAACAAAUCCACACCCAAAUAAACCCCAUUUUUCCUUUCUCUACACUAACCAACAACAAUCAACACUCCACGGACCAUAUCCACACCAGAAUUUCACCGCACUACCGCAACCCUCAUUUUCUCUUUGAUCAUAACAUGAUUCUAAUAAAAGGAUUUUGAUACCUUAAUAGUAUAACAAAGAAUAUAUAUAUACCAUUUUCGAUAAUUCAAGGAUAUAUUUGUCCUUUUUCCCUAUAUAGAAACACUAUGUGUCAUAACAUGUUUCUACUCAAAGAAAGUGAUCAACCAUAUGACAUCCCCUAUAUAUUAACUUCACUACUAAAAAAUUGGAUUUAGCAAUGGAAAUUUUUUGUAGCUAAAUAGAAAAAUCUAUUGCUAAUCCUACUUAGUGACAAAUUAGCGAUAAACUUUCAUUAACUACCAACAAAAUGACGAUGGACUAGCGACGAAGUUCAUAGCUAAUUUCAGUAUUUUUAAUAGUGCUUGUUUCACAUUGAAAAAAGGAAUUAGGUUAGAGUUUAUUAGAUUUGAUUGACAAAAAUCUACGUUAAUUAAGGGAUUGAUAAUCCUAGUCUAGUGAUUGAGGUUAGGGUUAAUACUUCAUGCUUGUAACCUAAAGUUGAAAUGUGUUUUAUACAACUUAACUAGGUUAAGACUCACUAGUUUGUUGGAAAAUGAUUAAUGGAUAAUCAAGAAUUUAGAAGUUGUUAAGAAACACCAUUAAUGAGUUAUACUCAAAGCCUAUUUGACACUGCUAUUGGGAGAUCAAAAACACUUUUUUUAGAAAAAAAAUAUUUUUGUUGAAAAAAUAUGUAGUUGACAAAUCAGCAAAAAUGCUAUUAAAUAGAAGCAGAAGCAGUUUUUCUGCGGAAAGAAACUAAAAACUUUUGCUUCUUAAAAAAAGCAGAAAUAGAAAAAAAUAAAUUCUCAAGACUAAAAUAUCUCUUUCAUAUAUAUACAUAUUUACCAAUAUAUCUCUUAUUAAUGAAUUAAAAUAUCUCAUAAGUUUGGUUAAAUUUCAUUUAAGAAUUUUAUUUUUUAUUUUUAUAUAAUAAAAAUAAUAUUUUAUUUUACGUUUAUAUAUUAUUAUUUUAUAUUUUAAAUAUUAUUUUACGUAUAAUUUUUAGAAUUAGAAAAAAGGAUAAUAACAAUAUUUAUGUAAAAUUAGAAAAAAUAGAGAAGAAUAUACAACUAAAGAUUUCAACCCUCCCCCUAAAAGGUAUAAUAUUGAUUGAAUUGAAAAUUUAAAUAUGUACAUUUUAAUUGGGAAAAUUUUGAAAAUGUCAAUAUUUUGACAUUUAAUAGGAUCCAUUAAACAUACUUUCAAUAUUUAUUUAAAAUGUCAAUAUUUUAGUUUGUUAUGUAUCUGAUUUAUGUAUUUUCUUAUUUGUUUGAUUUGCAAGAAUACAAUUAUUUAAUAACAGAAAGGAGAAAAUCAGGGGAUAUAAUAUUUUUUUAAAAAAACAUAUCACUUAAAAUUCUCAUCAGUUACAAUUUCAAAGAAAUCAACUUUCCUUUUUAUUAUGUUUUCAUCAUAAUUGUAUACCAAUAAUUUUUACAUUUUAUGUGUUGACUUUACCGUUUAAAUUAAAAUUGAUAUUUUACUUUCAUAGUGAAAACUACAAUUUGUAUCUCGGUGAUCAAAAUUGUAUUACAUGAUUGCCAAAUAUAUUUUUCUUUUAUUUGUAUUACAAAAAUAUUAUUGAUUGUAUCCCAAUAUAAUCUAAUCAUUACAUAUGAAUAUGAUUUAUGAAAGGAUACAAUAUUUUUGUUAAAAAAAUAGAAUACAUAAUGAAAAUAAUACAAUUUGUUGAGGAAGGAUACAAAAUUCUAAAAAAAAAUACAAAUUGGUUGUGAAAAAAAUAGAAUACAUAAUGAAAAUAAUACAAUUUGUUGAGGAAGGAUACAAAAUUCUAAAAAAAAAUACAAAUUGGUUGUGAAAAAAAUAGAAUACAUAAUGAAAAUAAUACAAUUUGUUGAGGAAGAUACAAUAUUACUAAAAAAUAUAUAAAUUGACUAUGAAAGAAAUAGAGAUACAAGAUUCUGGAAAAAAAAAAUACUCCCUCCGUUUCACAAAGAAUAACCUCCUUUCCUUUUUAGUCAAUUUCAAAAAGAAUGACCUAUUUCUUUUUUUGGUAAUAUUUUACUUUUUGUUUUCCACGUGGCAUGUUUAAGACCAUAGGAUUAAGGGCAAUUUUGUAUAUUUGACCUAACUUUAAUUUAGGACCACAAGAUUCAAAAGUUUUUUUUAUUUACUUAAACUCCGUGCCAAGUCAAACCAGGUCAUUCUUUGUGAAACGGAGGGAGUAAUAUAUAAUAGUUGAAAUAAUAUAAUCUGUUGAGGAAGGAUACAAAAUUCUAAAAAAAAAUACAAAUUGGUUGUGAAAAAAAUAGAAUACAUCUAUGCUUAAGAAAUAUAAAUCAAUUUGACAUAGCUAUUUGAAUGACUACAAACUAAAAAAUAAAUACAAUGUUCUUAAUAAAAAUACAAAUGCUGAGUAAAAGAAAAACAAUUGACGAGCAAAAAUUAAUAUGAAUACAAUCCUGGUAUGAAUACAAUUCAACUUUCUUCUCUCACUCUCUCUUUCUUCUUCUUCUUCAUGUUCCUUUUUUCUGAUUUUUUUUCCAGCAAACCCAAAUUCAAAUCCGUAUUCACUUGUGCAUAUAUUAGUUAUAACCCUAUAAGCAAAAUUAGAAAUUAUUAAUUAUGAAUAUAUAAAAAAUCAAACAAUAUAUGAUGUAUGAAUGCUAAUGUAGAUUACUACAAUCUAUUAAAUCUCAUAUAUGAAAAUAAAAUUAUAAGAAAAUUGAACAAUAGAGUUUAAAAGAUGAAAAAUCUGAAAUACAUAAAAGAGGAAAAUUUCAUAAAAUACUUGGUGAAUAUGAAAAACUCACACAAAAAAUCAAACAUUACUGUUUAAAUACGGAAAAUUUGAAAUACAAAAUACUUGAUGAUUAUGAAAACAAAAUCACAAGAAAUCUCACAAAAUACUUGUUGACUUCGAAUUAACCUUUAUGUUGAAAAAUCUUUUGAAUUAAUUGUGAGAUUUCUUAAAAGAGAUAACAAUGGUGAAAAGGGGAAGAGAGAGAAAGGAGCAAUUUGGGGUAAAACCUAGAAAGAGGGGUAAGUGGGUAAUGGGGGUAUCUUUUUUUUUUUUUUUUUACAGGAAGAUGGAGUAAAAAAAAGGGGUCUAAUUUGAGCCUGAUUUGAGAAAUAAAAGGAAAAAAAAUAAUUAUAUUAGGAUACAAUAUAUUUUCUAAAAUAUUGACAUAUUGAUAUUUUUAAUAAUUAUUUUAAAGUAUAGAUGUUUUUAAUAAUUAUGUUAGAAAUUGCGACUAAUUUGCUAAUUUUCCCCUUUAUUUAUCAAUUAAUAGAGGUAAAAUGGUAAAUUCACUAUCCUAACUUAAUAAGUGUGUGAAAUUAAAUUUGACUAGUAAAUAGACAUGGAGGAAGUACUAGAUAUCUUUAGUUUAAGAUAAUAAAAUUUUAAACUUUUUAUAUUUUUAUAAAAGUUUAUUUCAAAUUAAAAUUAGAUAAAUAAAUUGAGACGAGAACAAUUAAAAAUUAUGACCAUCCAAAAAUAUGAAGACGUGUAUCUAAAAUGUGGGGACUGUGGGUAUUACCAACUUUAUGUAAACGUGGCGGCACAACAUUCCUUAUUGUGACUUUAAAGACAGCCAAUUAUGUCGUCAUUUCAUGCUUGACUUACUUGCAAGGCAGUACAAGCUUUAAUUUUUUUAUAUUAGCAUAUAAAUAUACACGUGUGUUUUCAUGAUUUGAACUCGUGAUCUAUUGUUUAUAUAUUUCACAAAAACAGUUUUUUCUUUUAAGUUCUAAUGGGUGAAAUUAUUCAAGUUUCUUCAUAUUAUGGAUGUAAUUUUAUGUUUAGUUUUGUUUAGGGGGUCUUAACGAGGACUUUGCUUUUGUGCUACGUUAAAGAAUGUAUUUAUUCUUCUUAGACUAAUAUAUUUGUUUUUCUUAGAUAUGCACCUAAAUUCUGCCCAAAACUUCCUUUUUGGUUUUUUGGCUUUCGAGGCUUGCGGUCCCGUAAAGUUUUGGUAUAUGCAACUUUACUAUUAUAUUGAUUGAAAUGUGUAUCAUACAAAGACAAAAGUGGUAGAUAAUUUAUUUACUGAUGGGGCACUAUUAAAAUUAAAUUAUAGUAUCUAGAAACAGCUCAUCUCCUUAGGCAGAAGCUCUCCCAUUUUAAAAAAAAUAAAUAUCUUUUUCAUUAAUAGGAAAAUCAAUAUGGUAAGGAGUUUUAGCAUUAACCGUAAGAAUUACAGACUUCACUUAUGGGACAACACUGAUAUUAGGUUGGUGGUGGUGUUAAGAAUUAUUGUCACGUCAUUCUGUUCUUUUCUUUAAAUUUACUUUAAAAAAAAGGAAGGUAUGAGUCUAUUUGUUCUCAUGACAAUAACAACUUAACAAGUAUAGCACAUUACUUACUAUAAACAAGUCAAUCACACAAAUAAAUUCAAAAUUUCUAUUUGUGUUGAGAUUAAGACUUUAAUAAUUAAAGUGGGACCAAAGGCCUACUGUUUUAUUAUUUAUUAGAUUAUAUAAAAGACAAAAGUAAGAACGAAUGAAUUAUUUUCUUGUUCCCUCUUUCUUUAUUAAAAUUAAAAUGAAGUAGUUUAGUCAUGAAGAACCAUAAAAUAAAUGGUUGGUGAUAAGUGUCUCUCUUGUUGUUCCCCCUUUACAUCAUUCAACUUGUAUUGAAGUGAACUUUUUUGGGGAUAAAAAGGGAAUACAAUUGUUCUACAAUAAGUUAACAAAGAUACUCUUACAUCUUGAUAGUUUUCACCUACUCUAAUCCAACUAAUUAACUUUUACAUGCAAUCAUCCAGAUGGAAAAGGGCACAAGUUAUCUAGUAAUCUCAGCAAACAUGAAACUGGGGUAAAUAGUUUGUCUCACAGAUCAUAAACAAGAUUUACAAAUUCUUAUCAAAAGGAAGAAAAAAAGAGGGCUGUAGUUCAAGAUUUAUGCUGCUUCUGGAAAUCAGGAUGAUUCAGCUGAUGAAGCAUUGGACCGAGCUUUCUCAUACAAGCGGUAUAUCAGUGUAGACUUAGACAUCUGAGGUUCUCUUUCUAGGACGGCGAUCACAUCUUUUACAGUAAUACUGCGAGCAAUCCUAGUUUGUGUUAUUAUCCCUUGAGUUCUUCCGGCUCUUCGCACAGCA
rnacentral:lncRNA from 1 species